rnacentral:lncRNA from 1 species
CCUACUAGUAACUUCACUCCAUCAGCAUGCACAACCACAGAAAUUCAUCCCUUAGCAUCCUUUUGAGUCAGUCAAGAACAGAUAGUCUGGUUGAUAAAAUCAUAAAAUACAUUUCUGGCCGUGACACCUGGAGAUGCCAGAUACCUCAAAUGGUUCAAAUGUUCAUUCCGGUGAGAUGGUUUGGUUACUAACUCCAAACUUAUUAUAGUUCUAGCAUUACCAUAUGGUAUACGCUGUAAAUAAACUAAUCGACUGUCCCGGGCAAUUAAGCUGCUAGAUAUUACAAUACACAUGUAUGUAUAUAAAGUGGAGUUAUAUUUGUUAUAUGUUGAAUGUUCUUAUGAUUGGAAAUAUAGAUGUAUUUUCAGAGUGUAAAAUUAAUGUUUGUGAAUUAUACUUGAUACUGAAAUAGGAUAUUAGUGAUAUAUUUCAUGAAUAUCAGUUUCAGACACUAAAUUGAGAAGAUUCACAAAUAUCAUAUUUCAAAAGUAUGAUUUCACUCAAUUAAAAUAAUAAUAUAAUUUCACUAAUUUCAAAAAACUGAUUUUAAAUAGAUAGACAGUUCCACAUUUUUGAAAUAACAAGUUUCACAUAUUUCACGUUGAAAUCUGCUUCAUAUGUACGAAAACUGAUCGGAAAUGUUAACGCCCACACGUGUGGGCGUUAGCCAUCUCAACCACACGCCUCCAUCGCCGUCCAGCAGUAUCUGCACGAAUCUUGGCACGUUUUGACCGAUUUUAUGUGCCACGUAGGACAAGGUGCGUGUGUGGUGUGUGNNNNNNNNNNNNNNNNNNNNNNNNNNNNNNNNNNNNNNNNNNNNNNNNNNNNNNNNNNNNNNNNNNNNNNNNNNNNNNNNNNNNNNNNNNNNNNNNNNNNNNNNNNNNNNNNNNNNNNNNNNNNNNNNNNNNNNNNNNNNNNNNNNNNNNNNNNNNNNNNNNNNNNNNNNNNNNNNNNNNNNNNNNNNNNNNNNNNNNNNNNNNNNNNNNNNNNNNNNNNNNNNNNNNNNNNNNNNNNNNNNNNNNNNNNNNNNNNNNNNNNNNNNNNGCGCCGACCGUGGUUGACGUCAAACACGUCGCGCACUUCGCCCCCCUUCCCCUCACGGUUCCAUUCACUCCUCCCCUCAGUUACUCGCACAACCCACCCCGCAGUUCAGUCGAUUGGAGGAGGAGGCGACGGCGGAGGCGGAAGAGUCAAUGGCAUUCGCGGCCGUCGGUGGGACUCGCCGGACCGGAGCGUCUUCGCCGGAGCGCCUACAGAUUGAAGGUAAUGCUCCCUCCCACGCUCCAAAUCAUUGCCUGCAUUUCUCCCAUCCCCUCCGUGGUCGAUGCUUCGCUCGAGAUUCAUCGAGAUUCAGGCGGGUUCGCGAUGCGCCGGCGUUCCCGCCGGCGGCGAGUCUUGUGCUUGCCGUUUUCGGUGGCAUUGAGCAGUUUCGUCGCCGCCGCGGUGGCGGUCACGCCGGUGUGGUUCGGCCUGUCCAGAGCCACAUCCUGGUUGUGUCGUGGGAUUGGGCCGUCGUUUUUCUAUCCGAUAGUUGCGCAUUGCUUCGAAAUGCUAUUUGCGAUCAGUGCAGGGAGAAUUUUGGUGAUGAAUUUCAAGUUAUGAUAGUUGCCAUUGAACCCUAGAUCUAGGUAGUUGUUUUUCAAAGUGCAGUAUGAAUACAAACAUGGUAGUUUGAGUAACUGUCUGCACCAUACGGCAACCAAUUUCUUGAUUGAUUGUGAUAGUUGCCACAAAUAUGUAUUUCCAUGUGGCAACUAAUUUCGUGCACAUGCUACGGCUGCUGCCACGCUGUAGGCAUGGUAAAGUGUAGUAAAUAGAUAGUCAUUGCAGUUUCAGCAACUAUGUGCACUGGAUGGCAACUAAUUUUCACAUCAACUGUGUCAGUUGCCACAUAUAUGAUUUCCAUGUAGCAAGUAUUUCUGUGAACACACUAUGGCUGUUGCCACGUUGUAGGCAGGAUAAUGUGGCAAAUUCACUGUACUACAGACCCAAAUUUGUGUUUUGCCACGGUGACUUGUGGCAACUGACAGGAUAAUGUGGCAUGGCAAAGUAUAGUAACUAGGUUGUCAUGUCAGUUUCAGCAACUAUGUGCACUGGAUGGCAACUAAUUUCCACAUCAACUGUGUCAGAUGCCAUAUAUAUGCUUUCCAUGUGGCAAGUAUCUCUCUGAACACAGCAUGUCUGUUGCCAUGUUAUAGGCAGGAUAAUGUGGCAAAUUCAUUGUACUGCAGACCCAGUUUCGGGUUUUUGCCACGCUGACUUGUGAUAUCUGAACGUAUUUGUCCGUACUAAAUGGCAACUCAUUUUUAAUAUGAGGUCAGUGUGUGCAUUGCAAUUUCAGGUUGUUCAGUAGAUGUUUUUCAGCGCUUUUUUGAAUUUUGUGUUUCAUUUUAACAUGGCAAUUUCAACCUAGCACAUUUUGCCUUUGAACACAUUGGCAACUCAUUUUUGUAUGAGGACAGGGAGUGAGCUGCCACAUUUUAUGUUUGUGCAGUGGAAGAUUUGCGCCUUUCUUUUUCGUACUAUCUUGUGCUAACAUGGCAACUUCAGCAUUUUGUUUCAAGUGCCUUAUGAUCUGUACUUUUUUUCAAAUGAAGCCAAUGUGUUUUGUUGCCACAUUUAUUGUUGGACAAUCAUAGGGGGUGUGGGUGUUCAUACGAUAUUGCCUAAACUUUUUGCCACUUUCAAUUGAGCCCAUGUGGCAAGUACAUUCUGUUAGGUGGCAACUGCUUACUUCAUACUUUCAUUUUCACCCUGACAUUUUUGUUUUGUUCUUACCUCAGCAGAAUGGCUCGCGGCGAUCAUCAAGACGAUGAUGAUGAUUUCAUGGAGUUACCGCGGCAGAAUCGGGCAACUGGACGGAGAAAAGACGGCGAUGAGGUAACUGUCCACACCCCCAGCCCCCUUCCCCCAUAUGUUUUGAAUGUCAUGUUGAGUUUGCAAUCGUCUGAUAGGGUCUAAACCUUCAUGAUAGUGAAACAUGGCAACAAAUGAUCAUUUGUCUGUUUUGCAGAAGAAGAAACGUAAUCGCAAUAGGGCUUCACAGGAACGCCUGACUAUAUUGACCGAGGGAUUCACCGACGACCAGAAGGGAGCUGCUGCUGAGUUGGGGAUGCAGGCUCUGAUGGAUAUUCGCUGCAAGAAUCUAGUGAACCCUGUAUGCGACUGGCUCGGUGAGAUUUACGAGCCCGCCUCCAGGGAAUUUGUGAUUCCGGGACGUGGAAGACUGCCGUUAGACGAGGAAUCCGUGUUCUGCACGUUGGGUGUGCCCCGUGGAGAAAUCAAAGUCCCGUAUGAGGUCAAUAAUAUGAUUGAGGAAACGUUGUUUGCCCGUUUGUUUCCUGGGAUGACAUCCAUGCCGAACACGACCGUGCUGGCAACUUCGCUGGAGGGCAUGAAAACCCAUGGCGAAGUUUUUAAGAUGAAGUUACUCAUGUACCUGAUCUCAGCUGUUUUUGCGCUGACCACAUCUCUUCGCCCAAGCAACAAAUGCUUCCCCAUCCUGGUGAAUGCUCUAUAUCUACUCCUUCAUUUUUUCCUUCAAUCUUUUGACUCCUAUGUCAUCUGUAAGCUAGUCACUGCCAGUUUUUUUUGAUGUUUUCCCAUUUUUGAUUUCUGAUGUAGCAACUUAUUGUCAUGAAAUUUAUGUCGUGCAGGCAAAACUGAAAGAAGUGAAGAACAUGAAUUGGUGUAAGUUCAUUGCGGACUUCCUGCAUGAUGCAUUCUCAAACAAGAUGUACCAGAAGGGUUGUCGACUCCAUUUAAUGGUAUUUUUGUACUACUCUUUUUGCAAACACUCCUAGCUCCUUGAGCAUGCAUGGCAACCAUGAUGGUGACAUUGUGGCAACUACCAUCAUAACAAGAUGGCAACUGCCAUCAUAACAAGAUGGCAACUGCCAACAUAACAAGAAUGGCAACUGCCAACAUAACUAGAUGGCAACUGCCAACAUAACUAGAUGGCAACUAACACAUAUAGAUGGCAACUAACAGAAAUACAUGGCAACUAACAGAAAUACAUGGCAACUCUUUCCUUUCUUUCAUGCCCUCCAACUUGAUGAUUGAAGGAACAUACGUUAGCUUCUUUUUUUGCAAAAUACCAUGAUGGCAACUGAUAUUUUUUCUUUUUAAAUUGUUGUACAUCAGCUCAUGUACGUCGAUCGUCUUGAUUUGUCCACUGUGGACUUUACUGGGAUAGGAGGCCCGCCGCCUCCACACAAGUUUGCUGUUUCUGCGUGGACUUACGAUGCUGUCAAGGCUGUGCUUGCCGCGGACAAGAUAACUGAUAAGAAAUACGGGAAACUGCAGGUUAGUUAUGGCUUGUUUCUUUGCACGACAUUCUUCCAAUUUUGACGCUGCAUAACAUAUGAAAAAAUCCCCAUACGGCAACCGUCUGUGGCUAACAAGAGAUGACUACCUUGUUAGCCAUGGCUGUCUGCGCAUGGUAUCCAUGUCUAACGCCACAUGGCAACUCUGCCAUCCAUUUUGAAACUUCUAUCCUCUUCCUCUUUUUUAUUUUUAUUUUUGCAAUACAUGAACUGUUAGUUAGUGUUCAUUGUUUUCUCUCUUUACAUGCUAGUUGUUUUUUUGGUUUUUUCCAGCUGAUGGCCAAGCAUGCUAAAGACUACAGCGUGUUUGGUGGGCCUCAAAACUUUGGAAAGUGGAUGGACGUGCACUCAGCUCCGUCUUGUCCUGUUGAGGUAAUCAAGGAUAUAUAUAUAUAUAUAUACAUAUAUAUAUCUAUGGUUGUGUUUGGUUUAUUUUGAUCUUGUGCACGUGACUUUAAUACGGUUUGGUUACUGCUGCUUCUUGUUUCGUGCACAGGAGAGGGCACCUAUUGAGCAUCUAAUUGGGAAGUUUGCAUCCGGAAUGACCAGCUUGCUCGGGAAGUUGGUUGAGGGUUGGACGUCCCUUAAUGGCUCUGACAGCGACGCGGUUGCGAGGCAGUUCACUCCUUUUGUUGCAGAACGGACACAUCGGCCAACCGGUUGCCGUGGUCAGUACGACUACAACAGCUCGCAGGAGCUUCCGGACACACAAGAUGAACUAGAUGGAGAUACUGCUCUCGACAAGGACGACGACGAUGACAUGGAGAACGUGCAUCAUGACACCGACGAUGAUGAACAUGUUGAAGUUCGUGCAGGUGGUAAGAAGGGCAAGGGUGCACCAGAUGUCCCCUCACCGGAGAAAGUCAAAGAACAUACAGCUGCGAGAGGCAAGGGGGUGUCGCCCUCAAAGAGGGGGAGGGAUCCAGAGGAUGUUGGGCAGGGCUCUCCUGUCAAGAGACCUAGGACCGAUCCCUUAGCUGCUAGGAGGAGGUUCGACUUCUAUUUUAGUGUUUUGUUUUGUCUAUCCUUUCGAACAGACUGACUCCUUUUUUCAAUUUGUUUUUGCUAAGCGUGGCAACGAUUUUCGUGUCUGACACUUGACACCUUUUUUUUGCCUGUUUCUUAUAUGUGCAGUGAGGCGACAGCUGGUGGACGAGCAGUUAGGAAGAAACAAGCACCAACGCCCACCCGUGUUUCUGCUCGAUUGAACAAGGGUGCCCCUAUUGCUGGUGACACGCCUUCCACUAGGUCAUCUCCUCGUACGUCGACGUCCAACACCGGUGAUCCUGUCGUGUUGCCGGAUUUGAGGAAGACAGUCAGGAAGUAGGUUAUCCCUGUUCUUUUUCAUCGCCAUAUUGCUAUAUUUUUGCUUUUCAAUGCAGCUGUUCAGCUUGCCACAUGUGCUUCUGCCAUGAGUCCCCCAUAUUUUGCAACUGCUGUUUCUCCCAUGCUCUAUUUCUUUUUACUACAUGGCAACUCCUGCUUGUUUUUGCAUGGCAACUGCCAACUAGUCAAGAUGGCAACUCUCAUUCCACCUACAUGGCAACUACCAGCUUUUCCAUCUGUUUGUGCACUCAUCCACACCUAGUUUUGAAAUGGCAUUCCUGGCACAUCACACAUUUCUUACAUUUUUUAAGAUGUCUACCAUGGCAACUGCUGCUUGUUACGCAUGGCAACUGCUCACUGGUCCACAUGGCAACUCUUAUUCUACCUACAUGGAAACUAUUAUCUGUUCAUCUAACAAUGUUCGUGUUUUUUUUCAGGGUGAAGAAGACUACCACACGCGUGACGAAGCAGAACCCCAGAGACCCACUCGAACACAUACACUCAAAGCUGUCGACAGGUGGCAACUCAGACGUUCAUGAGGCGCCAGUGGACAAACCUGCUGCUGCAGCGUCCACUGUUCACACUAGCUCUGAUGCAAGCGGCCGAGCAUCUUCGCCGGUUGCAGAUGUGCAGGCUACGACAGCAGGCAUCCGUACAUCUGGGAGUGACGAGUCGGUAUCUGCCAGGACUGCUGAAAUAUUGCCCACUCUGCUAGCAAUGAAGGAUGCUGCUGUGAGCCAUGCCACCCGAUCAGCAAGUGUUGAAGUGGACGCCCCCGAGAUCAACCUAAGCAAGGAAGAUUCCCACUCAUCUGACACGGAUUCCAAGCGCGUGGGUGGUGGCACUUCUUCGUCCACGAAAGAAGGGGCUGAGGCAACAGUUCGUAAUGAUAUGCCAUCCAUAGGUGAGACUCUUGGCACAACAGCUCUAGCUUCUGGUGCUCCAGAGGUUGCCAAGGUGACCGUUGCGCGAGCUGGUCUUCCACCUAGGCGUCGUAGCCCCCGCGAGCAAUCUGCAGACAUACCCAACGCGCCGACUAUAGCUAGGAGUAGCAGAGAUGACUCUGGUUAUGUGCCUGCGUCCACACUGUUCCCACCACCUGCCAGAAGCAAUGUUAUGGAGAGAACGGAAGACCGGAGUACAACCGACCCAGGUGGCAAGCUGGGCACGACUGACGGAGGUGAACGUGCGGAGCAGACUGCGUCUUUACCCGCAGUGGAUAACCCCAGCUUAAAUCUGCGCACUUCUAAGCUCCCAGUCAACAUCGGUGUCCCCUACAGCCCAAACAAGAAGAUUGUCAAGAAAGCUGCGACUGAUACCGCUGACAGCACGCCCCGCCCUACGAAUAACCCCGAUGAUUCUGCAGCGGCCGAUGCAGAAAUGUUUGUUGAUCUUUCACCCUUGGAUUCUGCCCAGCAAGUUGUUCGCGGUCCGGCCAGUAGGCAGGAGAGGCACCCAAUGGCCUUCACCCCACCGAGCUUUAGCCUUGGCAUCGACCGCAGUCAAGAUGAACCAGUGGUGCAAGAUCCUUCACCAGUUGCCUUUGCUUUCCCGGCAGGCAUGGCCCCAAUGAUGGCGCAGCCAAUGGUCGAGGGCAGGAAGGCUGUGAAGUUCGCAGAGCCGGUUGUGCAAGGUACAUUUCUUAUGCGUUUACCAUAUUCAUGUAUACAUCUUUUUAGUAUGACUUUUGUCCCAAGCAUUUUUUUUGGGUUCUCACUUUUUGUGAUGACAAAUGUUACCUGAUGGACAUGGCAACUGGAUUUGCUUGCAUGCUGUCACCUACAUUUUUCUGUCGCCAUGCUGCAUUUUCCAUUCUGCAAGCACAUGGCAACUGCAGUUGAUAGAUCAUGGCAACUGUAGUUGCUGUCACAUGGCAACUACAAUGCAUUGCACAUGGCAACUGGAGUUGCCUGCACAUGGCAACUCCCUACUUUCUGUGCCUACAUCUCAUAUUUCUGCAACCUUCAUUUUCAAACUAGAUUUGUUUUGUUUUCCAGGUAUCCUAACCCACUUUUUUGAUCCUUGCAGCCACCCCUGAGGAGAUUACGCCGUCACUUGAUGAAGCUUACCGCAGGAUUGAGGAGGCAGCAUUGCAGAGGAGGUCCUCACGAGGUCAGGGCCAAUCAAGUUCCAACGCGCCUGCUGAGUCUGUAUCCGAGGAUACCAUUAGAAGUGUCACCCCUGGUUCUGUGAGGCAGCGUAGGGUAGUUCACGCGCCACCCGCGGAUGAUUAUGAGCCGGAAGUCAAGGCCACAAAGGAUCAGAACCAGCUGUAUGAUAUUGUCAAGCGCUUUGGAAAUGCGAGGUCCAACAGCAAGCACAUGAAGGAGCUGAAAGCGUAAUGACCACACCCACAUAAACCUCUCAUUUGCUUUACUCUUUUUACUAUUCAUCCUUUUUGAUAUUUCUAGAUAUGCUCCGUUUACGUUUUAUUUCUUUUUUUCACUUAGUAGACAUGAUUUUUUUUCAUGUUAUAUCAUUUUCAUACAACUCAUGUUUGGACAGAACCAAGAUCAUACAAUGUGAUGCGACGUACGUCGACCUGGGUGAUCUUGUUGAGUCUGUGAGGCCACUCGGUAAAAUAUCGAAGAAUGUAGUUGCAUGUGGGAUUGACUUCAUCAACAUGCAUAUGGAUAUGUCUCCCGACAAAACAAUCAUGCAAUACACUGUGAGGUGCAAAAUAUGGGAUGGUGACUUCCACCACAAAAUCCUGAGGAAGCAUUUUGCUGCGCAUGGUGAUUUCAAGCUCACACUGAAGAAAUGUGUGAGUACUCCUUCCUUUUUUGCACAUUUUUUUCCUCCCAUGUUAUUUUUUUGCCAGUAGCUAUGCUUCAGAUGAUGGGCUACGCCCUGCUUUGUGACAGCUGUUUCAUGUGGCAACAGCUGCCAUGUAAAAUGACUUCUGAUUUGCUUUCCUAAUACAACCUAUGUGGCAACUUCAAACUAAAAUACAUGGCAACUUUGUUCAUACAUGGACGACAACUUCUUUUAAUUACCCACUACAACUAAACAUUAUACGUUUGUCCACUUUUUCUUUGGCCCAUUGAUGCUUUCGUAGUCACUCAUGUGCCUGUUAGUGUAACCGGUGAUAUCUUUACAUGUCAUUUUUCCAACUUCAUCAUUUCUGUUCUUAAUGUGAGCUCUGCUUCUUUUCUUUCCUUCAUUUUUGUUUGCAGGUCUUGUUCCCCAUGUUCCAGGAGCUUGCACCACACGACCCACAUGACAAGUGUGGUCACCACUAUGCGAUCUAGCUUGACCUGAAGAACCAACGUUUUGAGGUGCUUGAUUCAAUGCGUUCAGAAGCUAAUGUAGACCUUACUUCGCAUGCUGAAUACUUCAUCAACAACCUCAAAGAGACAUGGAACCGUCACUAUGAAAACUCAAAGGUCCAGAUCAGACAUUUUCCAAUUAAGUACGUGGCAACUACGAAGCAAGGAAACCGGUAUUUUCCCAUCUCUUUCUCAUGUGUCCUCCAACCAAUGCUCACCCUCUCUUUUUUGUCACCUCUGAAUUGAAGUUUAUGAUUUUUUCUAUAUGUUCUUGUGAGUUAACCUGACUCUUUUCUUGUUUAGGCACGACUGCAGCUUCCACAUGUUGGAAUACCUUGCAAAGUGGGAAGGUCGACGGGUUCCUGUCGUCACAGCUGGAAUGGUCGUCGAGCUCCGCAAAAUUUACACAUGGAACUGGUUGAUGAACGAAGAUUUCAACACGCGGUCCAACGCAUGUGAGUUCAUAGAGGAAGCUGUGAAGAAAGCCACCAAGACGUACAAGUGAUCACGUGGUGCUCCUGACCGAACGCCUACCUUACAUUCUGUUGCCGAGGAAUGUAAGGUAUUACCUUGUCUUUUUUCAAAACUAUGUCCGUGUAAUAUGCUAUGACUGCAUCUCCCCGUAGCCUAGUAUACAGUGGUGGCGUGUGAGUGACAUUUGAAUAGUUUGUAAUAUAUGUGUGGAUGUGAACCUACUUAGGUUUGACAACAGAUAUGUUUAUGUGUUUUCAGUAUUAUUAUGUGCUUGUGGGUUGGUAGUACCAGCAUGGUGUUUUGAAUGCGUCCUUGAUGUCUGAAAACAUGGCAAAUGUAGUAGAUCAGUCAUGGUUAGUGAAAGUUAUCGUUCUUUCUUGUUUGGCUUUUUCGGUUUUUUUGCACUGCUAACUGUACCGGCUAGCAUGGUAGUUUGAUCACGGAGCAGUAACCUGUGCGGUUGCUGCAUGCACGAGACCGUUUCAGCUUGUUUCCCAUAGUUUGCACGAGAAUACAAUAUGUGUGACUAAAAUGCGCUGACUGAACAUGGAAAUCUACGCGGUGAAGAUUCAGUACAACUAACAUGGCAUGUUCAGUACAACUAACGUGGCAGAUUCAGUAGAAAAUAAGAUGGCAAAUUCAGUAAAAAAUAAUAUGGCAAAUUUAGUAGAAAUGGCAUGGCAGAUUCAGUAGAAAUGGUAUGACAGAUUCAGUAGAAAUUGCAUGGCAGAUUCAGUUCAAGUAACAUGGCAAAUUCAGUGCCAUACACGUGGCAACUGCAGCUAUUCCUUCAUGGCAUUUUUACUUCAGAUUCUGAUGCACCUGAAGAGUCAUUCUCCAGUUUUUACAAAAUUUAGAACAUCUAGAUUACAAAAAAAAUACCACCAUGGAACCAAGUCAAAGUGCUCCAACGUUGUUUAUGGAUUGCCCGUCCCUUUCUUUGGUUUCUUAUGUUUUGCUUGAAUCUCCAAUCCCGAUUUGUAUCUUAUCUCCUUUGGACGCCCUUUUGUGAUGGAACGGGGCGGGUUCCUAACCUGUGUUUGUGUGCUUGCUGUUCCAGAUCCUACCUCCGAGUUUUCAGAUGAUGGCCCUGUGGACGAAGGCACACUUGCCGUGCGGGGGAACAUGUGUAAGGCUUCCUCAGCUUUCCUCUUCUUGAUCUCAUCAAGCUCUCUUUUGAGGGCCUUCCUGUGUUUUUCUGUGACCUUUGCUGUCUCAUCACUCUUGCACGCUUCAUCAAUUAGUUCAGCAGAGUUCUUUGUCAACACAACGUGCCUCACGGCUUCCAUGGUUGACUUUGGUCUCUCGUCAUGCAUGGCCAAAACUACGUUUGAUGUUUGCGCGCCAAUGCGUCGUCAGUGUCCCAAGUCCAUCGCCGCCUUAUGAAAUGGCGGGGCAUUCGUGUCACCGCGUUCAAGUCCAUUACUUUUAGAAUGUGAUAGCACACAAUCUCGUCCCGUUCGAAUUUGCAGCAUUGGCAGUAGUAUUCGCCUUCGCUUAUCGAUGCCUUCACAAAGUAGUUCCUUCCCUUGUCUGGGUCUUCAGGUUCUGAAUCCGACAUGCCCAUGAUAGAACACACCUUGAACGUAUGUUCGUCCACCUGGAAAGCCGUGUACAUCCUGGCACGCUUUAUUUCUUCCUGGAAUCUGCAAGUUUUGUGUGGUUUUUGUUAAACUCUUGUGUGAAGUUUUUUUAGCACCUUUUGUUUGUUGUGGCCAAUGGAAUUACAAUUCGUUCAAACAUGGCAACUACAGUUCAUUAAACAUGGCAACUGCAGUUGAGUAAACAUGGCAACUGCAGUUCAUUAAACAUGGCAACUGCAUUUCAUUUAAACAUGGCAACUACAUAACAACUUCAAUUUGGCAUUUGCAUUCCAUACCAUCAUGGCCAUUGGAAUUUACAUUUCAUUAAAUAUGGCAACUGCAGUUCAUUAAACAUGGCAACUGUGGUUCAUCAAACAUGGCAACUUCAGUUCAUCAAACAUGGCAACUGCAGUUGAGUAAACGUGGCAAACUGCAGUUCAUCAAGCAUGGCAAACUGUAGUUCAUUAAGCACGACAACUACAUAUCAUGUUUACUCUGUACCUAAUGGCUACUUUUCAACACAAUCAUCAUUUUCAAAUAAGCAUUUCAACUGCAUUGCAUUCUACAUGGCACCUGGUACCUUCAUGAUUUGCGCAAAUAAGAUUGUAACACAACUGACUUACUUGUUAAAAAUCGUGUUGGUGUUUAUCUUGCUCAUCUGCCUCUCCAUUGGUAAAUACGUUAGCAAUUUUGGCUUCUUGAGCGCGGUGUUUGCUUCUUGCUGUAGCUCGGAUCCCAGUAUUUUUUGUUGCAAAGCGGUGUACUGCUUGGCAAACUGUCGUAAUGAGUUGCCAGGGCUCACGUAUCGCUUCAAAACAACAUUGAACCCCUCACUGCGUUGUGUAGUCUGCAGAAACGGGAAGAAGCACUGCAUGAAGUAGGCUGGCACCUAGUACAUUCGCUUCUCCCACAAGCUAGCAAGCGUCUCGUGGUCUUGGACUUGAUAUGUUUCAGUCAUAGCCAUCCAGCUCCUUUCAAACUCCUCCACCGUCAAGCUGUGGUGCACGCACAACUCGAAUGCCUUGUGCAGGUCUGGACGGUCAGCAAAGAACGGUCCUAGUGUCUCCUCAGCCUUCUUUAUAAUGUGCCACCUGCAGUGCCUGUGCACUGCCAACGGAAAGACCUCCUCUAUGCCUGCACGCAUGCUAAAAUCCUGGUCUGUUAUUAUGUUCAUCGAAGCAAGUCCACCCAUGCACUCCAAGAAGGUCUUGAACAGCCAAACGUACCCAUCCGUGUCUUCGUUCCGUACGAGCCCGCAUCCGAACUGCAACGACUGAUUGUGGUUAUUUAUUCCUAUGAAUGGAGCGCAUGGCAUCUUGUACAUAUUAGUGAGAUAUGUCGCGUCGAAUGAAAUGCAAUCUCGGAAAUGUUUGUAGGCUCUUCUUGCAGCACCAUCCACCCAAUACAUGUUCCUGACACGGUCCUCAUCGUCCAAUCUUAUCCUGUAGAAGAAAUCUGGAUCUUCCUUCACUUUCUCAUCGAAGCAGGCCAUUGUGGCCUCUAUGUCAGCCAACUUGCUCUCUCUACGGUACUUUGCCUUUAGGUUCGUGACGUCAGCUGGUAUGUAGGGCAUGCUACUCAAAGUCCCUUUUUUGCCAUGGAUGAGUGAUAGUAUCUGGACCAUUCUUGAUGGACCGACGUUACAAUCAUGUAGCAGCUUUAUGAAUUUCUUCUCGAGGGGGUGAAUCCUCUGUGGGCGGUCAGAAAUUUUACCAGGUCGAACUUCUUUAUGAGUUUGUGGUUGUGCUCGUCAAAAUAUUCAGUGACCACCCACUGUGCUCCAUCUACGUUUAGCUUACACCGGACAGGGCAUUCCGUCUUGAGAAUGAUACCUCUCUUUCAUUCUGGAACGACAGGCGCAACACCUUUCCCCUUCUUGUUCCUUCGUGCCUUGUGGAACCUCAUCUCACCUCUGCUGUACUCGUUAGUUUUCUUAAUUUUCCUAUGGUAUUCGGUGUUGACCGCAAAUCCAUGGAACUUUGCAUAUGUCUGGUAGAAUUCUUUUGCCUCUGCGAACGAUUCAAAUCUCUGCCCAACGUAAGGUGGCUGAGGUACCACGAUCUCUGAUUGCCCACCAUCUUCACCCCCUUGUGCUUCGUCAUCAGUUUCAUCAUUCACUUCAGUAUCGGCGGCACUUUCAUCUACUUGAGUGUUGCCAGUGCUUGUGUUCAAAGGUGUGCUUGUCGGCAUUGCUGGAAUGAUUGCCAUUUCCGACUCUGACUCGGCAUUGUUUGUAGCAUGAUCGUUGGCUGGCUGGUGGAAUGCGUCUUCCGUGCGUUCAGAGCUCCCCGCAGUAGAUGUCCCCGCGCCGCUGUUGAUUGUAGUUGAAGGCCCUGUAAUAAAAAAACAAGUAUGAGCGUAAGAUUUUGCUUGAAUGACAUGUUUAUCGUAACGGAGUACAUAAACUGCAAGUGAUUUGGCAUGACAUCAUUCAAACAGCAAGCCGCGAGUCUGCAUGUGGACAUGCAUGGCAACUAUAGUUCUCUAGUCAUGGCAGCUACAGUCCAACAAACAUGGCAACUACUGUUGCCAAUGCAUGGCAACCAGCUCCUUUCAGUACCAAAACUUGGAUUCUAUAUCAAUGGCAGCUGGAGUCCUAAAUACAUGGCAAACACUGUUGCCAAUACAUGGCAACCAGUAUAUUCUAGCAUCAAAAAUUUGUAUUCUACGCUUGAGCUCACUAGGCAAAUGCGAUCAACCAUUAGUGCUGCACACAUGCUUUUAGCAAUUGGGAAAUCCCGAAGACAAUAUAUGAGUCAUUGCACACGACCACUUGUUAGCGUUUUCUGUUUGAUUUUUUCCACCAUCACUGCUACAAAUCUUCUUUUCCUCACAUGCUAUUCCCACAAAAACAAAUGCAGUGUUGUUUUUGUGGUUCAAAUUCCCCUACCUUGUUGUGCCGCAUGUGCCCAUCUUGUGUGGUCUGUCACACCAAAUUGACGUGCUCUGUCUGCAAUCUGUGAAGCUUGCCAUGAGACGUUUGCCGAGGUAGCACCACCGUAAUAACCUGUAAUCAUGGUAGUAGUUGGUCAAUGCAUGUCAACUGUAGUUUCUUCAACAUGGAACAUGCAGUGGUCCAACCAUGCCACACAGAUUUGUUCACACUUUGCCAUCCACGGUUGUUUGUACAUUGCAAUCACAUUUUUGAUCAUACAUGUCAACUGCAGUUUGUCCUGGCAUGGCAACUGCAGCUGUCCAGGCAUGGCAACUGCAGCUGUCCAGGGAUGGCAACUACAGUUGUUCAGUCAUGGCAACUGCAGUUGUCAACUAUGCUCCUUCUGCUAAUUCACGGUCUGCAACGUCACUUUUUAUGGACUCACCUGUGUAUGACGUUGAUGGCAGGUACAUGGGUGUCGCCUGAUGCCACGUGCUGCAUGAAGGUUCUGCAUUUUUCCCGACAUAACUCGUGAGUCUUUUGCCAUCCUUUGCAAGUUUAUUUUUCAUGUCCACACCAGUAUGUUUCAUUUUUCGUAUGCGUUAGCUUGAUUUGCCACAUUAGCUAGUUGAAGUUGGUUGCCCGUACAUUUGUCAGUGAUAGCGCCCUGUGACUGAACUUGCCAUGGUGCCCCCCUGAGUGUGUUUUGGUCAUAAGAACCUGCGAAAAAUGACAGUGUAGGACAUAAGUAGAAUGUCAUCUUCAUCUUCGCGAACAUGGCAAAUGUUCUUUUCUUUGUUAUCAUGCAUCAUACCAAUGCCUGCGUACUGCUCUAGUAGUGGCAGCAACGGCCCUGCAGAAAUAAGUUGACUGUACUCUGCUGCAUCCCAAGGGGGCAUUUCUGGCCUUUGAGAAACCCAAGGAUCAGCGCCAUCUUCGUGAUUCAUUCUUUCCGCGUUUUGUUUUUGCCAAUGUGUUCUCAAUCACUGCAUGAACAAGAACGCAUCAACAAAUCCGCAAAAAAAAUGUAUUCUUCUACUACUUGCACGUACAAGAUAACACGGUAGUCUUAUCACAUUUUCAUGCGUAGGCAACCAACACAUCAUGGCAAGUAGGACAUGCACAUCCACUCUCUUUUCUAAAAUCUGGGUGCCAGCUAUCCUUUCGAUUCGAUGGCAACAGCCACCACAAUAGGAUGGCAAGCAACAGGUUAACAUGGUGGCAGUUAACAGCAACGAUAGGUGGCAACUGACGUUAGACACAAGUGGCAACUAAUUUUCCUACCCCCCUUUAUUCCGAAUAUCUCAUUUCUCUCCCUUUUUUUAGGGAUUCCUACGCAUCCAUUCAUCACCAACUACUUGCACCAAGCGAACUGAGAACUUAAGCUUAACUCUAGCGUAGUACAUGGCAGAUCUGAUGUAUGCUGCUUGGCAAAUGCGAAGACACACAAAACCAUGUAGUGUUUUGCCCCGAUAGCGUCGAUCCAGUCGCCACCUUCGUUGGUAAUUUUGCAAUUUUCUGCCUAGAAGAAGGAUGAGAAGCAGUAGGAGAUCGGAGAUUCACCUGCUUUUAGCUGGUUGUCUUUGGAGGGCGGGGUUGGAGUGGGGCGGGGGGUGGGGGUGGGGGAGGGGGUGUGGUUAGCGGUGGGAAGGCCCUACGGAUCUGCUCUGGUUGCCAUAGCAACCAGAGAAGGCCGGCGAUGGAGGUAGGGGAUCGAGAGGUGGGAGACGAUGGCGGCAGUCGGGACUGGGGAUCGAAAGGAGGCCAGGACGGCUGGGUCGUGCGGGCAGCGUGGUCGUCUGGCCCGGACGUGUGGGCGGGUUUGCCACACACCGGACGUGUGGGCUGUGGCUUUGCGCGCCCGGACGCGGUCGUGCGGGCGGGUUGCUAUCCAUGCCACACGAGGCGUGCGGCGCAACCACCCGAUACACCACACGUGUGGCAGUUAUCGGGACCCAAACUGAUUUGGCUCAUUUACAAAAAAAAUGAUUUCACUUAUUUCAAAAAAUAAAUUUCACACAUUAAAAAAAUGUUUCACUCAUUUAAAAAACUAAUUUCACUUAUUUUAAGAAACUGAUGUUUAUGAAAUAUAACUGAUAUUUAAAUUAAUGGGAUUAGAAACUUCAUGAAAAAAAUCAUUGAAAUAAGCACCUUCAGAAAUAUCAAAUUCCAAUUUCAGCUAAUAUUUCAUAAGAUUGAGUGAGAUAAGUGGAUUGAAAUGGGUUUUAAAUAUAUCCAAGAUUGGUCUUGUCCUCAAGGUCUUGGCGUCAGGAGUUCAAAUUCAAAUAUAUAAAUAAAAUAGAAAAGAAAGUAUAGUUUAAAAUAUAUGAAUGAUUAAAAAAAACAUGUUUGAGCAAAAGGAAGAGAGAUAAUGCUAUAACAUGCACCUGCAAACAUAUAGCAUAUGCAUGUGGUUGCACACAUUUACAUGUGGCGGCACUCCAUUGGUGCCAAAACCACCUACCCACUAGUAUUACUCCAUCUCAAAUUAGUUGUUUUAAAUUUGUCUAGAUACAAAUGUAUCCAAAACUAAAAUGUGUCUACAUACGGAUAUCUAGACAAAUCUAAUACAAUUAAUUCGGGGCGGAGUAAUAAUUUUUAGAUCAAGCAUUCAUUGAUUAACUUUAGGUAGUCAAAAUAGGCCCUCCGUAGAAGAAAGGUAUUGAUCGCUGGUACGUAAGCUAUGACGUAUGUCAACCGUUCUUCUCGAUGAGAUAGACGUAAGCCAACCAUCAACGAGCACUACUCUGUACUCCGUAUUAGUUAACGGCGUGCAAAGGUAGACAGACGAUCAGUGCAAGCAUUGUCGUUCUCGAUCGACAAUUGUACUACUUCUAUUGUUUUUUCAGAUAGCUUAACACAUACUCCCUCCGUUCCCAAAUAUAAGUCUUCUAGAGAUUUCAACAAAUGACUAUACGGAACAAAAUAAGUGAAUCUAUACUCUAAAAUAUGCCUACAUACAUCCGUAUGUCGUAGUCCAUUUAAAAUGUCUAAAAAGACUUAUAUUUAGAAACGGAGGGAGUAGUAAGUUGGAGAGAUUGUUUCUGUAUUCACUGAAUCAAUAGAGUUACAAUGUACAUACAUAUACCCCGCAGGGAGAGAGCAAGCGCUCCUGGAAAAGAGGCACGCAGGCCACGAGCGUUGCUAGAUCCUAAUAUCUAGGAGAAGACUCAGUUUACAGACUCAGCAUUACACAUACACAAGUGACCGUUUAACACCCCCCCCCUCAGCUGGAACUCCGUUGGGUAGGACGUUCAGGCUGGCACGGAACUCGUGAAACACUUGAGAAGGCAGCCCUUUGGUGAACAGGUCAGCGAACUGUGAACUUGAUGGAACAUGAAGAACACGAGCCUCACCAAGAGCCACACGAUCCCGGACGAAGUGGAGAUCAAUCUCGAUGUGCUUCGCUCGUUGAUGUUGAACUGGGUUGGAGGCGAGAUAGGUGGCGCUGACAUUAUCACAAUAGACCACGAUUCCUCUUGUUGGGGGACACUUGAGAUCAUGCAAGAGUUGUCGUAGCCAGCAGAACUCGGCAACACAAUUUGCGACGCCUAUAUACUCAGCUUCGGCACUGGAUCUGGAGACAGUGGGUUGGCGCUUCGAAGACCAAGAAAUGAUGUUGUUGCCAAGAAAAACGCAGAAGCCAGGAGUGGACUUGCGAGUGUCGGGGCACCCGGCCCAAUCAGCGUCGGUAUAGGCAAUGAGAUCAUGUGCUGGUGACUUGUAGAGCUGAAUACCGUAAUGAGAGGUGCCUUGGAGAUACCGCAGGAUGCGUUUCACUAACUGCAUAUGAGUGUCGUGUGGCUCAUGCAUGAACAGGCAAACCUGUUGAACGGCAUAGGAGAUGUCGGGGCGAGUGAGGGUGAGAUAUUGCAGUGCACCGGCCAAGCUGCGGUAGUAUGUGGGGUUGGAAAGAAAUGUACCAUUGUGGAUGGAUAAUUUGGAGGAGGUGUCGACAGGAGUGGACACAGGUUUGCAAUGUAGCAUGUUGGCACGGUCAAGGAUCUCAAGUGUAUACUGUUGUUGGCAUAGGAACAAACCGGAGGAAUUGGGAGUAACAUUUAUGCCAAGGAAAUGAUGUAACUCACCAAGGUCCGACAUGGAGAAUUCCUUCUUGAGAGAGGCGAUGAUGGAGUGAAGGGUGGCAGCAGUGUUGGCGGUGAGUAUGAUAUCAUCCACAUAAACAAGAAGAUAUGCAAUGGCGUGUCCAUGGUGGUGGAUGAAUAAUGACGAGUCACUCUUGGAAGCACAAAACCCAAUAGACAACAAGAAUGCCUUGAACCGAAGAAACCACGUCCGAGGGGCUUGUUUCAAGCCAUAGAGAGACUUGUUGAGGACGCACACAUGAUCCGGGUGAGAAGAAUCAACAAAACCAGCUGGUUGGGAACAAUAGACAGUCUCCUUGAGAUCACCAUGGAGAAAUGCAUUUUUGACAUCCAGUUGGUGAAUUGGCCACGAGUGAGAGGUGGCAAGACUGAGCACCGCAUGGAUAGUGGCCGGUUUGACGACCGGACUGAAUGUCUCGUCAUAGUCCACGCCCUCUUGCUGAGUGAACCCCCGGACGAGCCACCGAGCUUUGUAACAAGCCAAAGAUCCAUCCGUGUGAAACUUGUGGCGAAAGAUCCACUUCCCCGUAAAAAUGUAGACACCUGCAGGCUUAGGCACCAAAGACCAAGUGAAGUUAUUAAUUAAAGCAUGAUACUCUUCUUGCAUAGCUUGGCGCCAAUUUGGGUCCUUGAGGGAUGAUUUGUACGUUGGAGGGAUAGGAGAGAGGGGUGUGGUAGAGGCAUUAGCAAGAAAGAGGCGGCGAGGCAUGCAAUAACCGCGUUUGGCCCGGGUUGUCAUCGUAUGGGAAUUGCGUGGGGGCUGAGCUGGUUGUGCAUGGCGUGGUAGACAUGGCGGAGGGGGAGUGGUUGUGCAUGCCUCAGAUCCCGAGGAAGAUGCGGUGGGGCAGGCGACACGCGUGGGCGAAGGGGCGGCAGGUGAGGCAGAGCCGACAGGCACGGGGGGUGAGGUGGAUGCGGUGUGGGUGGGUGGUGGGGAAGGGGGCGCAGCAGUCGAGGCAGAUCCGGACGAGGAGGUGCGCGCCGCGGGAUGGGGAGUGGAGGUGGGGUCGGCAGUGGAUUGGCUGCAGGUGGAAGCGGGGGUGCGCGGUUGGUGGGGUGGCGGAUAUGGUGGGGUGUGGGGCCCGUACGAGGUUGUUGGGGGCGGCGGAUCCGAGAGAUCUGCUGGGGAUCGAGUGCAGGCGAGCACAUCGGGUGCGGACGGAGACUCUGGAGCCGGUGUUGUGGGCGGGGUAUAAGGAAAUGAAUUUUCAUCAAAAAUGACAUGCCUGGACACAAUGACGCGCCGUGUGGAUAAGUCGUAGCACCUGUACCCUUUGUGUUCGAGGGGAUACCCUAAGAAAAUGCACCGAGUCGAGCGAGGGGAAAGUUUGUGAGCCAUUGUAGCAGAAGUGUUGGGAAAACAUAAGCACCCAAAGAUGCGUAGAUGAUCAUAGGUGGGAUGAGCACCGUGGAGAAGAAAAUAUGGCGUAUGAUCGUUAAUGGCGCGAGAGGGGCGACGAUUGAGAAGGUAGGUGGCUGUGUGUAGAGUUUCAACCCAGAAGGGGGGAGUGAGGUUGGCCUGGAUGAGAAGAGAGCGAACGACGUCAUUGGUAGUGCGAAUGAGACGCUCCGUCUUGCCAUUUUGGGGAGAUGUAUGUGGACAAGAAAACGAUACACAAUGCCGUUGGCAGAGAAGAAGGAACGAAGGGAGGAGUUAAUGAACUCCCCUCCAUUGUCACAUUGCAUGGCCUUGAUAAUAACAUUGUAUUGGGUGUGGAUGAAGGUGAAAAAGCAUUGUAGCGUGGCGGAUGUGUCCGAUUUGUUGCGCAAGGGAAAUGUCCAAGAGUAAUGUGUGAAAUCGUCGAGCACAACAAGAUAAUAUUGGAAACCAGAGAAGCUUACAACGGGAGAGGUCCACAAAUCACAAUGUAUUAAAUCAAAAGGUGCAUAAGUUUGGCUAAAGGAAGAGGAGAAAGGAAGACGCGCUUGACGGCCUAGUUGACAAGCAUUACAUGGAGAGUGUGCACUUUUAUUACAUGAGCUAAGGAAGUCGUUGGCGAUGGUAGACAUGGAGUGUGCGCCGGGGUGCCCAAGUCGACGGUGCCACAGAUCCGACGUGGAGACGGUGAACGCCGACGGUGGAGCAUGGUUAUUGCCGUAGAAUGGAUAUAGGUCACCGUUGCUAACGGAGAUCAUGACAACCCUCCGAGUUCGAAGAUCCUUCACAAGAAAACCGCAAGGGUAAAAUUCAACUGAGCCUGAAUUGUCUUUAGUAAAACGACGAACAGAAAUUAAGCUAGUGACAACAUGAGGAGAAACGAGAACGUCGGUAAGGCGAAAAUCAUUGGGAGGAAGAGAGGUGGAGCCAGUAGCCGUGACAGGUAAGUGGUGCCCAUUGCCAACCAAUAUGCUAGAAGGAACGUGCUUUAAAGAAUAACUAGACCAGGUGAGGUUACCUUGGUUGCCGGUGACAUGAGAUGACGCGCCGCUGUCGAAGUACCACUCGGGCGCGGGAGCGGAGGGGAAACCACCAUUGCUAUAGGCGGCGUUGAGCAUGGCCGCGUGUUCCCAUGACGAGGGAGGGUGCUGGUGGAACGGAGCGGCCGGCGCCGGCGUUGUGGGAAGGAGCGGAUAAGCCUGCGCAUGACAUCCAGGGCGCGGACCAAGAACGCCGGCCGCAUUCGGCAGGAUCCAGCCGGAGCGAGGGUAGGGGAUCGCCAUCCCGUAGGGCGAGAAGUAGCCAGUGAAGGGCGACGCCAGGGGAGGAGCGGCGUGGCCGCGUCCAAUGUUGUCGCCGCGCCCACAACCGCGGCCACGACCACGGCUACCACGGUCACCACCGUCGUGGUCACCGCGUCCACGGCCAGGGUGCAGGAGCGGCUGUGGAGGAGCGACCGGAGCACCGGUGGAGGAGCGAUCCGUAUGAUCCGUCGGGGCACGGCCGCCCGUGCUGGAGCCGGCACCAGAGGCACCGCCACCCGUCAGCGCGAACGCGGAGGCGCUCUCUUCGGCCGCGCGAUGCUCCUGGGAUUCCUCGGCCAGGACGAUCCAAGAGAGACGGUGUCGAAGGGCAGGUCCUGGUCACCAAGGAUGACCCGGAUCGUGUAGAGCCGCUUGUCGAGGCCGUGGAGGAAUUGGGUGGUGAGAUCCACCUCGGUGACGGCGCGGUCGAUGUCGGCGAGGGCGUCGGUGAGGAGCUUCAUCCGGCGAGCGUACUCGGAGACGGACAGAUCGCCCUGCUUGAGGUUGCGGUACUUGCGGUUGAGGAUCAUGAAGCGAGCGGCGCGAUUGGCAAGGAAGUAGUCGCAGAUCUUGUUCCAGAGGGCGAAGGUGGUCGUGGCGCCGACGACGUGAUCACACAUGGUGUCCGGAAGUGUGGCGUAGAUCCAGAGAACGACGUGAGCAUCGAGCUGGAGGUAGGUGGCGGAAGCAUUUGGUGGCGGCGGAUGUUCGAUGAGGUAGGAGACGCCGUAGCGGACAAGAACCAUGAGGAAGAAGGUCUUCUAUUUGUGAUAGUUGUGAUCUGCGGGGUUGAGAAGGAACUUCAUGUGGUUGGUGAUAUGGUCCUGGAAGAUGGGAAGGCGGGGAGCGGGCGCCGUAGGAGCAGGGGGAACGCCGGCGUUGAACAGGGGGGGCAAACUGGGUGCCGGAGGCGGGGGAGGUGCCGUUGAGGAGAGAGGGGGAGGUGCCGAAGACGAACGGCGGGGAGGAGGCAGUGGAGGAGGCCGCGGCAGGCGCCGUCGAAGAGGACGAGAGAUCGCCGGGGGAGGUGGCAGAGCUCGUGGCGGCGGCGGUGGAGGAGGAGGUCGCGGCCAUGGGGCGCCUGGUGACUGAUACCAAGUUGCAGAGAUUGUUUCUGUAUUCACUGAAUCAAUAGACACUAGUGCAGAACCGGGCUUUAGCGCCGGUUCGUAAGGGCCUUUAGUGCCGGUUCUGCAACCGGCACUAAAGAGUGGAGACUAAAGGCCCCCCCUUUAGUACCGGUUCGGCACGAACCGGCGCUAACGUGCCACCACGUGGCACGAGCCAGGCGAGGGUGCGUGUAGGACAUUAGUACCGGUUGGUAACACCAACCGGUACUAAAUGUUUGGGUGUGUUUUGGUUUUAAUUUUUAUUUUUCCUUUAGUUUUGUGUUUUCAAUUUAAUUUAGUGAUUGUUUUACAUUAUAAUGAGUUGUUAAAUCAUUAGGUGAAAGUACCGCAGAUUAGUUUCGACUGGAUGCAUGUGGAUCCUAGCUAAGUGAUCAAGUAUAUGCCAUAUCCUUAGAUCACUAAGUGAUCAAGUAAUAUGGAUAUGGCAUAUACUUGAUCACUUAGCUAGGAUCCAUCCAUUUGAAACUAAUAUGCGGUUUCUUUCAUAAAUGAUAUAAUAACUCAUCAUCAUCAUCAUCAUAUUAAUAUAAAAACUCUUGCAUCAUAUCAUCACCAACAACAGUAUAUACUAGCUAGCAAAGAUAUCAUCGAGUUCAACAUGGUCAUGAUAUUAUAAGCAUUCAUAACACCACAAAAGCAAAUCACUCUUUGAGAUUAAGUUCAGGACGAAGAACAUGGACACGCAUGAGAAGACAACAAGUACUAAGAGCACGAUAACUAGCUAAAUCACUCCUGCUGCUCUCUCUCAGGUAAAAUAGCAUAGAACAUGUAUAGCUCUCCUGAUUCAUCAUAUUGGAGCAUGCAGAUGAACCUGUCUCCUAAUCGUGGGCUGCGCUUCUGAUUGCUGCCCCUAGUACUUCUCUGCGAUCGUUAACAAUUUUGCUCCAAUCUUUCACUAUUAAGCAUUCAUCGCUUUCAGAAAUCCUGAAUGCACUCAUGUGCACUGUAGGAUAUCUUGGCCAUAAGCUAACAAUUGACAUGCGACCUUUAGUCUCGAUCCAGUGAGGCACAACUGUCAUCGGGAGUCCCUGUUGAAGAACAUCGUAUAGUAAUUAAUAUACUUAGCAAUGAAAGUUUAGCUUGAAAAAUAAUGUAUGCAAAAGAUGCACUGAGGACUAAUAGUAAAAAUCUUACCAUCUUUCCUAAAUACAUGUGACCGUAGUUCAAUACGAUCACUAUUGGUCGCACGUUUUGAGUACUAAGAUUUUCAAAUUCAGGAAAAUGAUUUCUCUUAACAGCAUCAAGAUCCUCAAGCCAUGAAACAUAAUGACUUAUCUUCUCGCAGUUUAGUUCAGCUCCGGGACAGUAGUAGGUCCUGUCUACCAAGCGCCGGACAUGUUUGCUUGAAUGGAAAUAAGCUGUCAAUAGAAAUUAGUUGUCAACUAUUUUUGAAUAAACAAUAUCAAAGACAUAAAUAUGGUUGAGAAACUCACAUAAUGGUAGAACUGGAGACGUCUGCACAUCGACCCAGAUGUCUCUAUUACCUUCAAUAUCAUCUUCCGGACGAAUAUCAAAGGUGAUAACCAUAUCAGGCUCAAAUCCAUAAGCCUUGCAUAGUGCUUGCCAAGUUUUGCAUUCAAAGGUGUACGUGUCUGCAUUGUAUAAUUUGACGUUGAAAGUAUAACCAUGCUUGGUCUUCAGGUAAACUCUUUUUACCUCCAUAUUUUCCAUAGCACUGAAACCUAUCUUAUCCAAGACAAAAAUUCUUGCAUGGCAGGGGAUGCGCUAGUAGAAUAGUGAAAAUUUAAAAUUAUAAGUUGAAGCAAAUGAAGCAUAUAUAAGUCAUGCUUAAUUACGAAAAAAGACUUGUCGUUGUGACUUACUUUAUCCACUUCGAAGGUCUCAUCCAGCUUGAUGCUGAAGCGCCUAUCAUCAACAAGGAAAUUUCUGUCGCACAUGCCGCGCUGGUGUUCACAGAAUUCACACUUAAUGAAAUCUUUUUCGUCGUCAGACGAUAUUUCCUAUGUUCAUAUAGGUGAAACAUUAAACACUUACUAGUUCUAUUAAUUCAACUAAUUCAACUACUUCUAUUAGUUCAACUAGUUCUAUUAAUUCAACUAAGCAUUUAAUAAAAAUAAACUUGUUCUAUUAAUUUUCUUACUAAAAUAAAGUAGCUAGUUCUAUAUAGUAAUAUUUUAAUUAGAUCAUCAAAUCUCAGAUAUCUANNNNNNNNNNNNNNNNNNNNNNNNNNNNNNNNNNNNNNNNNNNNNNNNNNNNNNNNNNNNNNNNNNNNNNNNNNNNNNNNNNNNNNNNNNNNNNNNNNNNNNNNNNNNNNNNNNNNNNNNNNNNNNNNNNNNNNNNNNNNNNNNNNNNNNNNNNNNNNNNNNNNNNNNNNNNNNNNNNNNNNNNNNNNNNNNNNNNNNNNNNNNNNNNNNNNNNNNNNNNNNNNNNNNNNNNNNNNNNNNNNNNNNNNNNNNNNNNNNNNNNNNNNNNNNNNNNNNNNNNNNNNNNNNNNNNNNNNNNNNNNNNNNNNNNNNNNNNNNNNNNNNNNNNNNNNNNNNNNNNNNNNNNNNNNNNNNNNNNNNNNNNNNNNNNNNNNNNNNNNNNNNNNNNNNNNNNNNNNNNNNNNNNNNNNNNNNNNNNNNNNNNNNNNNNNNNNNNNNNNNNNNNNNNNNNNNNNNNNNNNNNNNNNNNNNNNNNNNNNNNNNNNNNNNNNNNNNNNNNNNNNNNNNNNNNNNNNNNNNNNNNNNNNNNNNNNNNNNNNNNNNNNNNNNNNNNNNNNNNNNNNNNNNNNNNNNNNNNNNNNNNNNNNNNNNNGACGGACGGCGGGGGCGACGGCUGUGACGGCGACGACGGGCGGCGGGGGCGACGGCGGCGGCGAUGUCGCGCGAAGUAGUUGGAGAAGAAGUGGUGGUCGAUGAAACUGAAUUUUUCGUAAGUGCCAUAUAUAUAGGAGGGGCCUUUAGUACCGGUUGGAGCCACCAACCGGUACUAAAGGCCAAUUUUCGCCAGGCCAAGGGGUGGGAAACUGCCCCUUUAGUACCGGUUCGUGGCUCCAACCGGUACUAAAGGCCCCCCCCUUUAGUACCGGUUGGAGCCACGACCCGGUACUAAAGGGGUGCGCUGGCGCAGGAGCGGUGCGGGCAAGUUUAGUCCCACCUCGCUAGCCGAGGGGCGCCCGCACCAGUUUAAAAGCCCCGGCGCGGCUGCUGUCUCGAACUCCUCUCUAUAGCAGGCUUCUGGGCCUAACUUCGGCGCGCUGUCCUGUGAGCCUGCUGGCCCUUCUGGGCCUGUAUUUGCAAACCCUAGGUCUGGCAGGCCCACUGGACAGCGGCCCAACAAUUUUUUAUAUAAUUUUCUUUUAUUUAUUUCUGAGUAGUUUUUUUGCUGUAUUUAGUUUCUUUGUGAAUAUAAAAAAAAUUAUAUAGUUUUUUUCUUUUUUGCAUUAUUUAUUUUCUGCUAUUUAUUUUUGAGUGAUUUUUUUAUAUAGUUUUUGUCUUUUCUAUUUUAUUUAUUUUCUGUUUUAUUUAUUUUCUGUUUUGUCUUUUGCACAUGCUAUGUGGGUGAAAUGAUGAUACCAUGCCAAGUUUCGACAUUUUCAGAGUUCAUUUUGUAGUGAUUUUCAAUUUCACGGUCAUUUAGCUCUCUAAACAAAUCGGUAAAUGACUGAAAAAUAGCAAAUGAUGUUAGAAAGUGUUGAAAAUUGAUGACGUCGCUUUGAAUGGUGCGUACGGAACGCAAAAAAAGUCUGGAGUUGUAAUAAGUUUAAAAAAAUGAAGUGCCAGUGUAACAGAUGAGUUCUCGUCCAAAACCCUGAUACUCCGAAAGAGAUUGUCCAGUUUGUACACGAAGUGCGUCUAGUUUUUGCCGUAACCCUCUCUACUCUUUUGCACAUGCUAUAUGGGUGAAAUGAUAAUACCAUGCCAAGUUUCGACAUUUUCAAAGUUCAUUUUGUAGUGAUUUUCAAUUUCACGGUCAUUUAGCUCUCUAAACAAAUCGGUAAAUGACUAAAAAAUAGCAAAUGAUGUCAGAAAGUUUUGAAAAUUGAUGACGUCGCUUUGAAUGGUGUGUACGGAACGCAAAAAAGUCUGGAGUUGUAAUAAGUUUAAAAAAAUGAAGUGCCCAUGUAGCAGAUGAGUUCUCGUCAGAAACCCUGAUACGUCGAAAGAGAUUGUCCAGUUUGUACACGAAGUGCGUCCAGUUUUUGCCGUAACCCUCUCUACUCUUUUGUACAUGCUAUGUGGGUGAAAUGAUGAUACCAUGCCAAGUUUUGACAUUUUCAGAGUUCAUUUUAUAGUGAUUUUCAAUUUCACGGUCAUUUAGCUCUCUAAACAAAUCGGUAAAUGACUGAAAAUAGCAAAUGAUGUCAGAAAGUGUUGAAAAUUGAUGACGUCGCUUUGAAUGGUGCGUACGGAACGCAAAAAAAGUCUGGAGUUGUAAUAAGUUUAAAAAAAUGAAGUGCCACUGUAACAGAUGAGUUCUCGUCCGAAACCCUGAUACUCCGAAAGAGAUUGUCCAGUUUGUACACGAAGUGCGUCCAGUUUUUGCCGUAACCCUCUCUACUGUUUUGUACAUGCUAUGUGGGUGAAAUGAUGAUACCAUGCCAAGUUUCGACAUUUUCAGAGUUCAUUUUGUAGUGAUUUUCAAUUUCACGGUCAUUUAGCUCUCUAAACAAAUCGGUAAAUGACUAAAAACUAGCAAAUGAUGUCAGAAAGUUUUGAAAAUUGAUGACGUCGCUUUGAAUGUUGUGUACGGAACGCAAAAAAGUCUGGAGUUGUAAUAAGUUUAAAAAAAUGAGGUGCCCAUGUAACAGAUGAGUUCUCGUUAGAAACCCUGAUACUUCGAAAGAGAUUGUCCGGUUUGUACACGAAGUGCGUCCAGUUUUUGCCGUAACACAAAAAGUCCGGAGUUGUAAUAAGUUAUUAAAGAUAAAAAAGAGGCACAAUGCUCAUUAAUUAGCUUCAAGCCUUUCGGAAUAGUGCAAACUGCACUGCACAUAGCUCUGUGCAGUCUACACUAUUCCUCAAGGCUUAAAGCUAAGCAACGUGCAGAUGAGCAUUGCGCCUUUCCUUCAUCGUCUCUGCACUCAGGGCUUAUAAACCGCUCCUAGUGCCUCUCUCUUCGCGAGGUGGGACUAAAAAACAGCUUACUAAGAAACUAUAGUACCGGUUCAUGGCACGAACUGGUACUAAAGGUGCCCGUGGAGCCCCAGCCUGACCACAGCCUGACGCAGCCUCAUUAGUACCGGUUCGUGACACGAAUCGGUACUAAAGGUUGCUCACGAACCGGUACUAAUGAUCUCCGCCCGCCUAGCCGUUGGAACCGACACUAAUGGACACAUUAGUGCCGGCUCAAAAUCAAACCGGCACUAAUGUGCUUCACAUUUGACCCUUUUUCUACUAGUGAGAGUUACAAUGUACAUACAUAUACCCCGCAGGGAGAGAGCAAGCGCUUCUGGAAAAGAGGCACGCUGGCCACAAGCGUUGCUAGAUCCUAAUAUCUACUCCCUCCCUUUCUAAAUAUAAGUCUUUUUAGAGAUUCCAACAAAUGACUACAUACGGAGCAAAAUAAGUGAAUCUACACUCUAAAAUAUGUCUACAUGCAUCUGUAUGUUAUAGUCCAUUUGAAAUGUCUAAAAAGACUUAUAUUUAGGAACGGAGGGAGUAGGAGAAGACUCAGUUUAUAGACUCAACAUUACACAUACACAAGUGACCGUUUAACAUAGUAUACUUCCAUGCCAUGUGGCAGACCAACAAUUGGUUUUUGUGUUGAACUGAUUCCCUCAAGGAACGUUAGCCGAGACGAAAAGUCUGUUUCCAUUUGUCAUCGAUGACGUCACGACGAUCGCCCUUUCAUCUCAUCGGACGAUCUAUUAGCAUAUAGGAGUAUUAUUAUAGUGCUACGAAUAAAGUGGGCGUCCAGGUUCACUCCGUGUCUGCCUGCUUGAAGCUGUAGAGCAGAGCUGAGAAGGUUCGGUGUCAGAUUGGAGUUGAGUCAUGGGAAGGAUCGACCCAAGUUAAAACACAAUCCCCACCUGAACACCAAGUCGUCGUCGUUGCCCUGCGCCCCUAUAAAUCUCUUCUUCGUCUUCAUCGUCUCCAUAUCAGACCAUCCUACAGGCCUCUCUCUCUCCCUUGCUGUCUCACACACACAUUCCAAAGGGAAACAUACGCUCCAAAAAUCCACACCACCGAUCAGGAGUUGAAGAAAUCGUUGCCAACAUGGUCGGCGCCGGAACCAACACCGCCAUGGGUCCCCGGAAGCCGCGGGUGGUGCUCUACCCGUCGCCGGGCAUGGGGCAUCUGGUCUCCAUGAUCGAGCUCGGCAAGCUCUUCGCGGCUCGUGGACUGGCCGUCACCGUCGCCCUCGUCGACUCGCCGCACGACACCAGCGCCACGGGUCCUUUCCUCGCCGGCGUCUCCGCGGCCAACCCCUCCAUCUCUUUCCACCGUCUACCACAAGUCAAGCUCCUCGGGUCUGAGCCGCCGGAGAUGCUAACCUUCGAGGUUGUCCGCCUCUCCAACACGCACCUCCGUGAGUUCCUCGCCGGCGACACCCCGGCCGUCAUCGUGCUGGACUUCUUCUGCAGCGUCGCCAUCGACGUGGCCACGGAGCUCGGCAUCCCCGCCUACUUCUUCUGCACCUCUGGAGCCCAGAUCCUGGCUUUCUUCUUGCACCUCGCGGUUCUGCACGGCAAGAGCACGAGGAGCUUCGGGGAAAUGGGCCAGGAACUUGUGCACUCUCCGGGAAUCACCUCGUUCCCGGCGACGCACGUCAUUCAGCGGCUUAUGGAUCGUGACAGCGCGCCCUACAAAGCAUUUCUAAACAUGAGCACCAACCUGUUCCGGUCCCAGGGGAUCAUCGUCAAUACCUUCCGCUUGCUGGAGCCGCGUGCCAUGGACACCAUCGUUGCCGGACUCUGUGCACCGUCCGGACUCCGGACGCCCCCGGUCUACUGUAUUGGGCCACUGAUCAAGUCGGAGGAGGUGGAUGUGAAGCGCGGUGACGAGAGUCUCGCGUGGCUGGACACGCAGCCCAAGGGCAGCGUGGUCUUCCUCUCCUUUGGCAGCCUUGGCCGGUUCAGCGCCAAGCAGACGAGGAAGGUGGCCGCCGGGUUGGAAGCCAGUGGACAGAGGUUCCUGUGGGUGGUGCGGAGCCCGCCAAGCGCCUACUCGUCGAAGAACUCCGAGAAGCCGCCUGAGCCGGACUUGGAUGCUCUCCUCCCGCAGGGUUUCCUUGAAAGGACCCGGGGCAGGGGCCUCGUCGUGAAGUCAUGGGCGCCGCAACGCGACGUGCUGGCACACGAUGCGGUUGGUUGUUUUGUGACAGACUGUGGGUGAAACUCAGUGCUCGAAUCGGUCAUGGCAGGCGUGCCGAUGUUAGCGUGGUCGUUGUACGCGGAGCAACUAAUGAACGCGGUGUUCCUAGAGAAAGAGAUGGAGCUGGCCGUCACGAUGGAAGGAUAUGACAAGGAGGUGGUAGAGGCUGAGGAGGUUGCUAAGAAGGUCAGGUGGAUGAUGGACUCCGACGAUGGGAGGGUCCUCCGAGAGCGGACUUUGGUGGUGAUGAGGCAGGCGAAAGAGGCUCUACUCAAGGGUGGGGAAUCAGAGACGACGUUGACGGGGCUGGUGGACGCGUGGAUUCGUGCUUGACGUUUUGAAUUGACCGUGAGUAUAAUCGUGUAAGCAGUGAGCGUGAAGUCGACGUGUGAUUUUAGUUCCAUCAUUUUUCCUUUGACUUGUGGUUUCAUUCUUUAUGAACAUGUACUUCCUAUAGACAGUAUAUAGAAAAAAAAUCCAUAUGAGACAAUCAAAACUUUUUCUUUGCGGAGGCACAAGACAAUCAGAACUUGCUCAUGUGCUUACACAUAACCUUUUAAAAAAUUGGUUUGAAAUAUCACUAUCAAUUUGCGUUUGUUACAAAUUUACCACUACCGUCGGUUGACCAACCAUUGACUGCGAAGCAGACAAAAAUGUGUUAGAUUUUCCUCACGUUGUCCACUCACAGUCGAUUGCAUCCGUUGUGGUGCUAGUGCUACGCAAGAAACCUCCAUCUUUUGACUUUUUUUAAAUGGUCAUGCGGGGGGAAGACUCCCCACCUGGAUAUAUUUCAAAAGAGGCAGUAACUCAGAGCUUUACAUAUUGCGAGAAGAGAGGAAAUCAUGCCACCGACCGGCGUGUCCUCGUAGUGUCUCAGUCUUAAGACGAUGAGACCAAAUAAUUAAAUCAUCUAGAAUUGUAGCUAGAGUUUGGUUUGCAUCGUUUCAAGGUUCUGGAACACUUUCUUAUUCCUGGCAUCCAAAAUCUUCCACAAAAUGAGGAGCAGCACAAAGGGCCGAACUGUGGCGGGCAGCGUCGGCGGGAGCAUGGUGGAGAAGAGGUCAACAAUGGGCGUUACAUGCGGUCGGAGACCAACCAACUGCCAAAUCUUGCGAGCAGCCGGGCAAGAGAAGAAGAGGUGGUCACGAUCCUCCACCGAGUUGUUACACCGAGGGCACAUGUCCGAGUCCAAGAUGGUUUUCUUGCGCGGAUUCUGUUGAGUGUUCAAACGAUCAAGGUAGAACAACCAACCAAAUAUCAUAACUUUUUUUGGGACUCUUGAGUCCCAAAUAGCUGUGAGCGUCGGAUCAGCAAGCUAGCUAGAGAGCGCUGCAUAGGCUCCUCGGGUGGAGAAGGCAUCACCAUUAAGCAGCCGCCUAGAGUCUAGCACCUGAGAAGGGAGAACAUCCUGCAACAAAGAAAUCAGAGAGGAAAGCUCUGCGAACGCAGUAGAGGUUAAACGACUACGAGGAGCAAGUUCGAUCCCAUCCUGUAAAAUGGUGGCUACUAAGGCAUUUUGGUCAGUAUGGUGGGAGAAAAGAGCUGGGAAGACUAUAGCCAGAGGUUCUGGCUUUAGCCAUCGAUCUAACCAGAAAAAGGUGGAGUGUCCAUUGCCUACAGUGCAAUGGGGAAUCUCUCUCACACUCUGUAAAUGUUUAAAAAUGGUCUUGGCAAGGAAGGAGCUGUUCUUGCCAAGCCCUAUGUGGAGAGGUGAGUGAUGGAGGACCCAAUCCUUCCAAGGUAAGUUAUUCGCAUGAAGGAAUUUGUAAGCAAAUUUCAGCAGUAGACAAAAAAAUUGUGCACGUAAGUUCUUUACACCUAGACCUCCUGCAACUCGGGGAGUACAGACCUUGUCCCAAGCAACCAAGCAUUUUUCUCCAGAGCAAGUCUCAUCGUUAGACCAGAAAAAGGUGCGUCUACGUUUGCCGAUUGCCUCUAAAACCUUGGCAGGGAGAGAAAAACAAAGUAUAAAGUACGUGGGCAAGCUGUCUAGGACGACAAAUAGAAGGACAAGUUUGCCUCCGCGAGAAAGAAGCAAAGCACACCAGCCCGAGAGAUAGAUAUUGCAACGGUCGAUAACAGGUUGGAAAGCCGACGAAGGUAACUUAUGAGGUGAGAGAGGUAGGCCGAGGUAUGUUUGCAGAAACGAGGCAAUGUCGGUGGCUAGGUCAGCAUCCAAAUUAGCGGCCUCAACAGGGCCAACAUUUAGGGGAAUGAAGGUCGUCUUUGUGAAGUUGAUUUGGAGUCCAGUUGCCGCAGCAAAAUUAUCUAGGAUAUAUUUUAAGUGUUGUGCGGCCUCCGGAGUAGCUUUGACUAUUAUGAGGGUAUCACCGGCAUACUGCAAGACAGGGCAGGGGAGUUGAGGGCUAAGGGGGUGAAACAAGAGACCAUCUUUGUUAGCUUUAACAAUCAUUUGUUGCAGGAUAUCCGCAAUGAUGAUAAAGAGAUAGGGGGAAAGCGUGUCACCUUGGAGAAGGCCAUUCUUGCAUUGGAUCCACCUACCAGGAACUCCGUUGAACAUAACAGGAGUGGAUCCAGUAGCAAGGAGAGCUUCGAUCCAAUCACACCAGCGAUCGGGGAAACCCCUAAUCUUCAGAGUGUGCAGAAGCAAGGUCCAACAGACAGAGUCGAAAGCCUUACGAAAAUCGAGUUUGAUCACGAGAGUGGAAGCUUUGCAUUUGGCACAACAGUGUAGAAUAUCGGCAGCGUAGAGGAAAUUUUCGGAGAUAUUGCGCCCAGAGAUAAACCCAAGUUGAUCAGCAUGGAGCAAGAGAGGUAUAAGAGGUUUUAGACGGUUGGUCAGAAGUUUUGCGAUACCUUUAAUCGGGCAGUUCUGCAGGGAGAUGGGUCGAAAAUCCGCAGGGAUCGAGCCUCAUUGCUCUUAGGGAGUAGAAUAAUCAGGGCCCGGUUCAUGGAGGAGAUGUCACAGUUAAGUGAGUGGAAGUCUAAGAAGAAGUCUUUAUUCUUUCCCUUUAGAGUGUGCCAAAAUUUCCGAUAAAAGUCCAGACCAAACCCAUUCGGGCCCGGGCUAGCAUAUUGGUUCAUGGAGAGGAAGGCGUGCAAGAUCUCAUCGUCCGUAAAGGGGGCAUCCAAGUACUGAAGUUGGGGAGUGGGAGAGGGGUAGAGGUCAUGAAGGGAGAAGGACCAACUUGGUUGAAAGGCAGUGCCUAGAAGAGAGGCUAGAAGUCCGAUAAAGAUGUUAGAUUUGGCGUCACACGAGAAUAAUUCUGAACCAUUUGAGACCAGGACAUUGAUUUUGUUAUUACGAAGGCGAGCGGAGGCAUGAAAAUAACGUGAGUUUUCAUCGCCUUCCAAAGCAAUACCAGCUUUUCCUCUCUGCAUCCAAUAGAGCGCCUUCUCUCUAAGAGAACUCAGAUGACAACCCGACGGAGGGCAAGUUCGAGCGUGGAGAGGAAGUGGCCUUCUUUGAUUAGAUCCAGGAUGGAGAUAGCGGUUUUACAAUUACGUUCACGAGUGAGAAGGGGGAUCGCGAGGCGUCUCCAUUUUUUUAAUCAACGCGCGAACAUUUUAGGGCAGCGACCAAAGAGAGCGCGUGGUUCGAGCGCAGUUGUGCCCCCGCCCAAGCAUGAGCGAUAACCGAUCGACAAUACGGCCUUAAGGCCCACCUUGCUUCAAAGCGAAAAAGCGCGGGAUGCGGGAUAUUAAUAUCAAUCGAGAUGAGGAGGGGGACAUGAUCAGAGACAAAGCGGGUUAGAGAGGCAAUAGUGGUGUUAGGGAAGAGGAGAUCCCAGUCAACGUUGACGAAGACUCUAUCAAUUUUCUCAAGAAUGGGUUGGUCCCUCUUACUAGACCACGUAAAGCGGCGAUCCAGGAGAGGGAGCUCGAUGAGAGCAUUGUAGUGAAUGAAGGCGUUAACAUAUUAAAUUUGGAUUGGUGAAAAAUUGGAGUGUUUUUGUCAGACGCAUGGCGAAGGAGGUUGAAAUCCCCUAAAAUAAACCAUGGGGUGGCCGGCGAGGGCGCGAAGCUAGCAAGCUCCUGGAGGAAGAGAUGUUUAGGGCGUGGUCAGUGGGGGCGUAGAUGUUUGUAACUACAAGUUGUUGAGGGGAGGCGAGGCAAUAGACUAUGGACGUUUGAGAGUAGGCACCGAAGUUUGUAGACAUAAUAGUAAAGUGGGAGGAGGAGAAGGCAGAGAGCAUACCACUUGCCGAGCCAAUGGCUGGUAAAGUGUGCAGCAGGUUUAGAUGGUGAGGGUGAAACAUUUUUUGUUUGAAAGCAUCGAAGGUGAAGAGUUUGGUUUCCUGCAGAAAACAUGCAUGGGGGUGCAUGGUAGAAGUUCAGAUAGCAGAACACUUCUGAGGUUGACCGAGGCUACGCACAUUCCAAGAACAGAAAUUGAACUUAAGCUUGUUCAUGACAUACAAUAAAGGCGCCAGUAACAAACUAAGGGAAGUUGAGCAAGAAAAUUAAACAACGUGUGCCUUACAAAAGGAUCAAUAGAGCUGGAACCUAAACAACGACGAAACCUAACACAGGACGAAGGCAACACAUGAUCAAAAUCAUUCCCACAUGGGCAGGUAAGGCCUAAACAGAGUGAGACGAGGCAGCCGUGGCGAGCGGCCAGCGUCGAGGGGCAGCAGAUGGCGAUCAUGGAGCAGGGGAGGACACCUUCGCAACCUCUCCUGGCUCAACACGGCAAAGGGCUGCGAUCUUGGCAAGAGCAACAGCGUCAUGAGCUGGCUCCUCCGGCACACUGGCAAGGCCUGAGACCUGAAGGGCAUCAAAAAGGGAAGAGGAUGCCAGCUACAGGUCGAAGCACCGGGCUUUAGCGCAGAUGGCUUUGGUGGUCAUGUCAACGAAGGUUUUCGCUUCCUUCUCUGCCAGGCGGCAGCUACGAUGAAGCUUUUUUGCGUCGGUGGCCCGCUUCUCAGCGCCAUGGAUCCGGUGCAAGUUGGCCUCGUGAGGGACGUCACCAAGCGAAACCGAAGCAAGGACUGGAGUAGCAGAGAGGCUAUCAGAAACGUCACAAACAAAGGAAGAAGAUGGAAAGCAGGUUUCAGCCAUGGCAUUACCAGACUUGACGGAGGGCUCGACAUCGGAGAUAGCUAGGGAAGAGAAGUGGUUAGAGACCUCCACAGAAGAAGAUCAGGUGUCGGGGUUGUUUUCAGCUACAGCGUGGCCGUCGCUGUCGUCGGAGACACAAUGGCAUUGGCGGCAUCAGUACCAAAGAUGUGCAGGCCGCCAGCAUGAGGCGCGUUGUCGUGCAGGCUUGGAGCAGGUGAGCCGUUGUGUGGCGAAUGCGGCGGCAUGAAGUCAGAGGCAUGGGGGCCAGGGCACGGGCCGGAGUGGCCACAGUUCCACCUCCACGCACCAUGAACGUGAGGGGCACCAUCGUUGUCGUUGCCGUUAUCACUGUCGAGAGGGACCAUGAGGUCCUCGUACAUGGCCCGGGUUUUGACCUUCCGUAGAGUGACGUCAAUGAUCUGGUUAGGGGGGAGGUGGAGAAUGCAGCCGGCGGGGAUGACGUAGUCUGCCUCCACACGGAGGAAGGCACGCACCGCUGUGAAUUCGCCGGCAUUGAAGCAGCUCUGGUCCACGCAGCAAAGCACCCGAAAGUGGCCAAACACAAAGUUCGCCCCCUGAGUAUGCCACGGCUUGAGCGGGUAGCUCUUUGCCUCGAUCUCCACCAGGCGGUCGUAGCGGGUGGUGGCGCGGUUGUCCGUCUCUUCGGGACGGAGAAGACACUACAAAAAAAUGCACUUCCGCGAUGAUACGUGUUUGUCACAGUAGGUCACGUUUUCUGUCAUGCAUGUACAUCCAUGACAAUUUUAUUACAGAAUCAAGAUAGUCAUACCUGUGCUCUCGUAGAAGUGUUCCAUGACAUUACCAGAAUUAUCAUCACGGAAGUGUCCACUUCCAUGACGAUAAAUUGCGUGUCACAGAAGUGCUUUCGUCAAGGGUGAUCGACACGUUGCAUCCACCGUAACGGGUCGCCGUUAAGCUAUCGGGUUCCGGUUUGGAUCUGAUAACCCGUUAACAGCCCAGACCAAUGGGAAUUUUCCACGUGUAAAAUUCCCAUUGGCCGAAGGAAACACGUGUUGGCUCACCGUUGGGACAGAUGUCAUCCACUCAUUGGACAGGAGGCGCCUAUGAUAGGUCGACACGUGGCACGGCCCAACAGUGGCCCAUUCCGGUGAAAAGGUCGGCCCAUUUGACUUGGUCAAAAGGUAAUGAGCCGGCCCAUGGAAAGCCUGUUAACGGUAUGUUCGCAUAUAGUCCAUUUACAGCCCGCUAACUCACGGCCCGUUACGGCCUAUCGGAAUUAAGCCCAGUAGCUUCAUUUGGGCCGUCCAUUAUGAUUCCAACCCGUUGUAACUUCCGACCCAUGUAUGGCCCAUGAUGUCUUUCGGCCCAUAUGAGGCCCUUUGUUACUCUUGGCCCAUUAACGGCCUAUGGUGAAACUGGCCCGUAAUGAAAACUGCACCCGCUUUAUACCCAUUAACGUCCCAUUGUUCCAUUGGGCCGUUUCCAACCCGUGUUAUCUUUCGGCCUUCUCAGGGCCCAUUUAUUCUUGGGCUCAUUUCCAACAUUCGGUUACUUACGGCCUGUUACUGGCCUUUUAUGCUUGUGGGCCAAAUUCAGCCCGUUGUUACAGUCGGCCCGUUUGCGGACCGUUAAUCCGUUGGGCCGUUUUCAUAAUACGGCCGAUUAAUGACGACCCGUUAUGGUCGGCCCAUGAACAGAUGGUUCCAACUCUAGCCCAUUUACGGCCCAUAAUGUGGUAUGUUUUUGGCCCAUGUUUGGACGAUCGAUCAUACGACCCGUAGAAGGCCCAUUGAUGCUACGGCCCGUAGAAGGCCCAUUGUUUCUAUGUCCCGUAGAAGGCCCAUUGUUUCUAUGGCCCGUAGGAGGCCCAGGGUCACUACAGUAAAUAUGUAGCCCAUGGUUAUUGUGACAUAGUUUUAAAAAAUAGGUUAUUGCGGCCACUAGCAAACCACGAAAAAAGAACUACAUUGACUACAAGCAAACAAAUAAACAAGACAACAAGGAAAUAAAUAAGCAAGCAACUUACGCUAGGCUAUCACGACUAUUACACAUAUUACAUCCACUGGGCAUCAAAGUUCACCACCAGUGCAAAUAUAGGGAAGAAAGCAGCAUAUCACAUACACUAGUUGUCAAAGUUGGCGACCAGUGCAAAUAAACGCCGCAGCAAAACAAGUCCAGAACUGAAACCACUUCAGAAGAGCUCAAGAAACAAUAUCCUGGGUACCCAUAAUGCUGGCAAGAUGCUUAGCAAGCUUAUUGACUUUCUCUUGUUUGGCGCUUAAAUCCUUCAGUGCUUGCUGUUGCACUAGAAAGUAUGCAUCUGAAUUCUGCAGGGAAUUCUGCAGUCCUUCGGCGUCCUGCCGCAGAACAUCUGAUCGAUGUCUUUCAACUUGAAGUUGAGACUCAAGAAGUCGAACUGAUUCAGGCAGCGAGUUCGAAGAGCUGGUGCCAGCAGUAGUGGGCAGUAACUCGAACACUACAUCAAGACAGGACUUUGGGGUUGUCUCAGUGUCUUCAAUAUAGUUUUUAUCAGCUUUCUUGGAGAUCAACAGGGAUGUCUCACUAUCUUGAACCUUAUCUGCAUUACUUCCUUUACCAUUGCAUAACGGGGUACUCUUCUCCAAUAUUUUAUCCGCGUUCUAAAAGAGAAACAAACAAACACAUCACAGGUUUACCAUGUUGUAUAUGAAACUCAUUUUGGUAAACCAGUUCAGUAGUAAGGUGGAUAGGAUAACAGCAUGAAACAAACAUAUAUCUAUGUAGUAUGGUCAUUGUAUGGUCUAUAUCAUUCUCGUUUAUGUUGCCAAAUCAAGAUAGAGACAGUUCAAAUCAUAUCUAUUUAAGACAAAGCAGCAUAGACAGAAUAUAAGUGUGGGAAACUACACAGCAAUAACAACACUUGUAAUGUGCAUGGCAUGAGAACAUAACUAUUUAUUCAAUUGAAACUGGAAUCAACAUAGAGCAAGUUACAACAGCAAACACAUUAAAGAAACAGGUUUAAAACAUACCUGUUGCGCCAUUGGAUUUUCAAUUGCAUCAUUCAAAUUUGAAAUUAGUUGGUAUGAGUAAAUACAGUGAUGCAAGAGCAAAGGAGUAUGAACCAUAGCUACAGAACCUGACCUGAGAACAAUUCUUCUUCUGCUUUAAGCGUUGACUUGGGGUUCGGAGUGGUGGUCCUUGUGCUUUGGGCACUACAGUUGCCUUACUAACUGCUCGUGUUUGGGUGCUCUGUUGUGGAGAUGGUGCUGUGUCAACUGGAACUGGGUUACUAUCUGCUGGGGUUGGGGUUAGAAGGGGUGUAGCUGGUUCUCUGUCCAACUAGGUAGGGGUACAAUCUGCGUGAGUCUGGGUUAUGUGUGGUGGGGAUGGUUCUUGGGCAAGUACAACCGUGGUUCUAUCUGCAUCGACGGGUAGCAUGAUCUUUUCUGAAGACCGUGUUUUUACUCGCACAGAUACUGCCAUCACCCCCUCCAAUUGAAAUGGCUAAUAAACAAGAAAAGUAAUUGAAUGUACAGACAUUGUAAGAUAGACAGAUGCAAUGGAUAGUAGGGAAGAAAACAGGGCAUGAAAUAAUUCACAUUUAUGUCGUCUAACCAAACAGAAUAGCAGGACAUAAUUUCACAUAUAUGAUGGCUAAUUAAACAGGAUAGCAUGACACAAUUUCACAUGUAUGAUAGCUAACUAAACAGGAUAGAGUGACAUACUUCAAAAUAUGAUGACUAUGUAAACAUGAUGACAUGAUAUAACUAUACGAUGUGUCUAUUAAAGUGGUUGGCAUGCCAUAAAUCACAAACAUGCUGUUGAUGGACGGAUAGAAUGACAUAAUUCAAAAUAUGAUGACUAUGUAAACAGGAUGAGAUGAUAUAACUAUAUUAUGUCUUUAGAAAAUGGGUUGGCAUGCCAUAAUUCCGAUACAUGAUGUCUAUGUAAACAUCAUGACAUGAUAUAAUUCAAAUAUAUGAUUUAUAUACUAAGCAAGUGAGCAGAGGGCAAUCACAUAUAUGAUGUGUCAACUAAGGAGAUGGCAUUCAAUAUUGUGUAUAUGAUGUAAAAACUAAGCAUUGCAAUACAACAUAUGCAUGAUAUGAGUAAUAUAACCCUGCCAAGUUUGAGCAUACACCUCAGGGGAUAAUAGGACUGGUCAUCGGCCUCUGAAUCCUCCUCUGAGGAGCUAUCUGUAACCAGCAAGAUAUUUGCUUCAACAGGUAGCAUUGUCUGCUCUGGAGACCUUGUUUUCACUCCAGAUUUCUCCAUCACCAACUCAAAUGGCUGAUGCACAGGAAGAGGAGUUGAAUAUACAAACAUUGUCGACAAAUGCAAUGAGAAAUUCAAAAAAAGGACGGCAUGAUAUAAUUCACAUAUAUGACGCUUGGCUAAAUAGCAUGGCAUUGCAUAAUUCACAUAUAUAAUGCCUUGCAACAAGAUACCAUUGCAUAAUUCACAUAUAUAAUGUCUUGCAACAAGAUGGCAUUGCAUGAUUCACAUUUAUGGUAAUUAGACACUAAACAGGUGGCAUUCACACAAAGCAUGUCUAAACUAAGCAAAUGACAUAGCAAUGCAAGAUACCAUACGCACGAUAUGAGCAACAUAACCCUGCAAAGUUAGAGCAUGCACCUUGGGGGGGGAGGGAAUAGGACUGGUCAUCUGCCUCGGAAUCCUCCUCUAAGGAGCUAUCUGUAACCAGCAAGACAUGUGCUUCGUCAGUUAGCAUUGUCUGCUCUGAAGACCUUGUUUCCACUCCAGAUUUUUCCAUGACCGUGCCGAAUGGCUGAUGCAUAGGAAGAGUAAUUGAAUGUACUAAAAUUGUUGACAAAUUUAAUACGUAAUAAAAAAAUGAUGGCAUGAUAUAGUUCACAUAUAAGAUGAUGGCUAACCAGGGUGGCAUUGCAAAAUUCACAUAUAUGAUGCCUGGCUAAACAAGAUGGCAUUGCAUGAUUCACAUAUAAGAUAAAGAAACUAAACAGAUGGCAUUCACGCAAAGCAUGUCUAAACUAAGCAGAUGACAUAUAUAAGGUAAGCAAUGCAAGGCACCAUAUGCAUGAUAUUACCAGCAUCAGCAUGCCAAGUUAGAGCGAAGACCUAGGGGGUAAAUAGGAGUGGUCUUCUCCUUCUGAAUCCCCCUCAGAAUAGUUGUCUUCCUCUUUAUUACAAUCCAAAAUGGGUGGAGGGGGGCUGCCUUUGCACCCACCAUGGAGCAACGUCUACAUGAAAUUUUAUUGCCACGCAAGGCUCGUCUCUUUUGCUCUACAUGUUCAGUUCCAUUGUGUACGAUAACUGACAUGCAUAUGAAUAAAACAUAGUGAGGUUAUGUAAGGAGUGCAUGCACAAAUCCAGAGUGAUGGUAGCAAACUGUGGAUAGACCCAAAACCAAUGAUAGCAGGCAGAUAAUAGCUUUAGUUAAAAAUACAGAUAAUGGCUCCUUUAAUGUUUGUUUGAACCCAACAUGAAACUCAUAGUAGACACCCGAGAUUAACCAGAUAGUAGACAGAUAGUACUGAUUGCUGCCCCAAUAUGUACCCCGCAACCAUUUAAAAACUCAAGUUUCAGCAUUAGUUUGGGCCUGACUCAGAGUCUAAUAGGUGAACACAACGAUAAAGUAGCAUGUCAUCAUAUUAAACGAUGCAUAAUGUAAGCAGACACGGAAGAGUGCGACCUCUCUUGCGGACCCGUGUAGUCCUCAAGGUCAUCUGCUCAGUUGAUGAUGGUAAUACAGUUGUCGUGGCUGCAGGCGGCGGGGAAGAAGAUCUGAGGCGGCGAAAGACAGUCUGGAGAGUGGAUCCCUGCUGUGGUGAAUCCUUCCGUCAUUGGAGCAGCUGAGCUGAGGUGGAACACAGCGCAGUAGGAGUGAGACAAACCACACAUGGUUUUCUUUGACACAUAUCUGUAACAGAAGUAAUUGUGUAAGGACUUGUUUGAAAUUGAGGAUUCUAACAAUGCAGGGAUAUGAAAUACACAGGAAUAGGAUAGGAAUGCACGUUCAAAACAGAGAAUUUAAAAACACAGGAUUUCUACCAAUCUGGGUGUUUGGUUCACAAGAAUUGGAAGAUCACAGGAUGCAAAAAAACAUGAUGAGAUUAAGUCACAAGAAAAUGUACGGUUAUAAAGCUAUUAUGCUACUAUCUCUUAGUCUUGUGCUUCAUGAAUAGGAAUUUGAAAAGGAGGACAAGUGGAUAUUAAAAUUCCUACGGGUUUUUUCUUUUAAGGAGGCACUAAAGGAACAAAUCCUACAGUUUUCUUUUACUCCAUUCCUUUGAACCAAAUGCAUGAAUAGUGGUACCAUAGGAAACUUUUCAAUUCCUAUGUUUUUCCUUCACUUUUCCUUUCAAGCACUGGCGAUUCUAGUAGGCAGGCUUGAGCAAGGAAAAGCCUACACUCAAAAAAUGUUUUUGUGUUAUUUCUACUACUUUGGACCCAUGCCACUACCCUACUAGCUCAACUCCCAGGCCCAUCGACAAAUGCACAGCUCAAACACGCAGAGAUAAAUAAUGAUGGCGUUUAAGAAAGUCCAUCACGGAUAGCUAAGUUACAGCGAAAUGUUAGCAGACAGCCUUUGUGUGUCUUAUUUGUGUAACACAUGCUAUCUGUUGCUCAUCCUGUUACAGCGAAAUGUUGAUCGUUUGUGCUAGCCACCCGGCUCCUUCGGUUCAUUCCGAGUUUCUUUCUGGAUGGCUAUCACUCAACAGUUCCAGAAUGCCUUACCAUUUGAGCUCAACUGGAAGGAACUUCAGAAAGCAAAACAGACAUCAGCCAGCGAUUACCUUUGCAAAAAGUUCUUCAUUGGAAGGUAUGUCUCAUAGGAAUUAAGCAAACCAUCUCAUUCACUACCGAAAUUAGACUAAGCCUGCUUUGGAUGUUGGGAAUUUGUAGUGGUUCCUUUGGAAGCAAUAUAUUCUUUGGAAAUUUCACAGUGAAUCAUGUGGUCGUAAUGGGAGUAAAAAUUGUUUCUGUAUUUACUCAAAUCUUUCAAUACUCACGCAUGGUGCCACGCAUUCUGAACGUCAAGCUGAAUACGCUGUCCUCUGUCCCAUUUUUUCAUAAUAUAUGCCCUCUGUGAUGAUUUCAAUUGUGACUUUGUCACUGAACCUAAACUCCUUCUUGUUAUAUUCAGAUCAUAAAAUUUCUGAAUUGCUGCCUUCAUUUUGUUGUCCAGAUUUAGUCGCCUCUGUAAAGCCAUCUCGUCUUCUGCCAAAAGUGGAACCAAAAACAUUUCCCAAUAGUGUCCCUGAUGAGAUACUAUCAAAACUCAUAUUGGAAGAGUCUGAUGCCUUUUACAUACUAGAGCUGUGCACAAGUAGAGAACUUAGUUCCUCUCUGCUAGAUAAGAACUCUGCAAUCUUAAUCUGCUUAAUCGAUGUUGACAGUGACUCCUUGCUAGAAAGAGUACCAGCAAUCUAUGGGGACCAACCUUCACAUGGCACCAAGGCAUCACAAUUCCUUCCCUUUCAAAGUGGUGCAGUUGAUAUAAUCACCUUUAAAGGUCCCAAAUUGCUGACAAUCAAAGAAAUCUGGAUCGGCCUUGAAUCAGGUACACUAUCCACCUAGUUUUCUGUUCUCUGCAAAUAUGUUCCAUUCCCUAUACUAUACUAACGUACCCAUCUCACCUGAUGUAAAUGUUCUUCCCUUCAUUUUCACAAUAUUACCGUUCAAGAUCAGGUUCGUGGAGAUUAGAUGGUUUAAGUCUGAAAGUGAUCCAUGGAGCACUGAACACACCUAAAGAUCUUGAGGGAACACUUGAGCUCAAGUUCAGCGGUUUACAGUUCACUUUCGACAAGCUCGGUGUGCUGCUUGCUGAGGAUGGAGCUUCAGUUGUGGAAGCAAGGCUGUUGGAAAUAUGCCCUAGAGGCAAUAAUAAAUGGUUAUUAUUAUAUUUCUUUGUUCAUGAUAAUUGUCUAUUGUUCAUGCUAUAAUUGUGUUAUCCGGAAAUCGUAAUACAUGUGUGAAUACAUAGACCACAACGUGUCCCUAGUAAGCCUCUAGUUGACUAGCUCGUUGAUCAACAGAUAGUCAUGGUUUCCUGACUAUGGACAUUGGAUGUCAUUGAUAACGGGAUCACAUCAUUAGGAGAAUGAUGUGAUGGACAAGACCCAAUCCUAAGCAUAGCAUAAAAGAUCGUGUAGUUCGUUUGCUAGAGCUUUUCCAAUGUCAACUAUCUUUUCCUUAGACCAUGAGAUCGUGUAACUCCCGGAUGCCGUAGGAGUGCUUUGGGUGUACCCAACGUCACAACGUAACUGGGUGACUAUAAAGGUACACUACGGGUAUCUCUGAAAGUGUCUGUUGGGUUGACACGGAUCGAGACUGGGAUUUGUCACUCCGUAUGACGGAGAGGUAUCUCUGGGCCCACUCGGUAAUGCAUCACCAUAAUGAGCUCAAUGUGACUAAGGAGUUAGCCACGGGAUCAUGCAUUACGGUACGAGUAAAGUGACUUGCCAGUAACGAGAUUGAACAAGGUAUUGGGAUACCGACGAUCGAAUCUCGAGCAAGUAACAUACCGAUUGACAAAGGGAAUUGUAUACGGGAUUGAUUGAAUCCUCGACAUCGUGGUUCAUCCGAUGAGAUCAUCGUGGAACAUGUGGGAGCCAACAUGGGUAUCCAGAUCCCGCUGUUGGUUAUUGACCGGAGAGGCGUCUCGGUCAUGUCUGCAUGUCUCCCGAACCCGUAGGGUCUACACACUUAAGGUUCGGUGACGCUAGGGUUGUAGAGAUAUUAGUAUGCGGAAACCCGAAAGUUGUUCAGAGUCCCGGAUGAGAUCCCGGAUGUCACGAGGAGUUCCGGAAUGGUCCGGAGGUGAAGAAUUAUAUAUAGGAAGUCCAGUUUCGGCCACCGGGAAAGUUUCGGGGGUUAUCGGUAUUGUACCGGGACCACCGGAAGGGUCCCGGGGGUCCACCGGGUGGGGCCACCUAUCCCGGAGGGCCCCAUGGGCUGAAGUGGGAAGGGAACCAGCCCUUAGUGGGCUGGGGCGCCCCCCUUGGGCCUCCCCCUGCGCCUAGGGUUGGAAACCCUGGGGGUGGGGGCGCCCCACUUGGCUUGGGGGGGAAUCCACCCCCCCUUCCCCCUUGGCCGCCGCCCCCUUGGAGAUCUGAUCUCCCAGGGCCGGCGCCCCCCCAGGGGGCCUAUAUAUAGUGGGGGAGGGAGGGCAGCAGCACCACAGCCCCUGGUGCCUCCCUCUCCCCCAGCAACACCUCUCCCUCUCGCAGAAGCUUGGCGAAGCCCUGCCGAGAAUCCUGCUACUUCCACCACCACGCCGUCGUGCUGCUGGAUCUCAAUCAACCUCUCCUUCCCCCUUGCUGGAUCAAGAAGGAGGAGACGUCGCUGCUCCGUACGUGUGUUGAACGCGGAGGUGCCGUCCGUUCGGCACUCGGUCAUCGGUGAUUUGGAUCAAGGCGAGUACGACUCCAUCAACCCCGUUCAUUGGAACGCUUCCGCUCGCGAUCUACAAGGGUAUGUAGAUGCAUUCCUUUCCCCUCGUAGCUAGUAUACUCCAUAGAUGGAUCUUGGUGAUGCGUAGGAAAUUUUUUAAAUUCUGCUACGAUCCCCAACAAAGGCCUACUGCUAUCACUGACCUGUCAGGAAUUAGCAUUUCUGAUCUUCAAGAGGGGCAGCUAUCCUCAGCAAAGACAACCUCAAGCAUUAAGGAAUUGAAGGAAGAUGGACUGAGGGAGUAUGCUGAUCUCAAGCAAUCCUUGCUGCUUUACGACAUAUCUAUUGUUAUAACAGGUUUCUCUGCCUUCACUCUGGCUUCGAAUGAUGGAGCUGCCUACUCGUUCCUCGUCGGUGGGAUUGGAGGGUUGCUGUAUCUAUUGCUGCUCCAAAGAUCUGUGGACGGGUUACCGGCAAUUAGUUCUCCUUCAGAAGCGAGCAGUUCAGAGCCCACUAUGAACUUCAGCGGCGUAAGAAGGCCAUGGUUGAUAUUGUCGAUUGUAAUGGUUGCUGGGGCUGUUGCACUGAAGUACGGUGCUGGUGGUGACAACUUCGAGCUGACUCCGACUGAGCUAUUUGUUGGCACUGCAGGGUUCCUGGCGAACAAGGUUGCUGUUCUUCUGGCAGCAUUCAAACCCUUGCAAAGUAAUUUGGAGAGCGACGAUGGAUCUGUGGACUGAGCUUCUUGACAACAUUGCUCUGAAUAUACUAGCAUAAUGUUAAAAAAGGGGGGUAAAAUUUAACAGAUGUAGGAUUUCAUAGUAGCUCGAUGGCAUUCAAGAUUUAAGCUAAGUAUGGAAAGUGCAGGGGAUCAGCUCAGAGGUAGAAUUGAAGAGCGUGUGCUUGUAACUUGAGCCUACUAGUAACUUCACUCCAUCAGCAUGUGUUGGAGUAAAUGGCCACGGGUAGCCUAACCGACUCCCCCUGGCUCUUCGAAAAAUUAUCAGGCCAUUCGAGCCUUCAAGCAUACAGAGCAUAGGGCCGCCUCCCCCCGGCCGGCUAUCCCCAGGGCCGACUACCCGAAGGCGACCCGGCCUCAGAAACCUUCCCAAAGAAAGCUACGAGAUGGCCGACUCCAAGGAGCCGGCCCCAAGAGGACCGACUCCCAGAGGCCGGCCAUGAAGAAAGCCGACUCCCAGAAGCCGGCCAAGACUGCACCCACCAAGACUGCAUCCACAUAACGGUGAUAAGACAGGGCGUGGCCGCAGUACAGCCCACUACCCCCCGAAUCCCGGAACAGGCAUGGUCACAGGGCGCCGUACGGGUCAGCCAUCACCCGUCCGGCGCUACACAGUAGCCAUGUUAACCUCGAUGUCACCCACGACAGCCGCCAGUACGGCCCGCGAGCGGCGGGCCCCUUUAGCCAGAGAAACGCUCGAAGGCGGCCCGACCUCCCCUAGUCGGCCAGGGGCGUAGCCGGCUACCUCCCCCCCCCCGAAACAUGUGCCUCAUUAAGGAGACAAGACUGUUAGAAAUAUGCCCUAGAGGCAAUAAUAAAUUGGUUAUUAUUAUAUUUCCUUGUUCAUGAUAAUCAUUUAUUAUCCAUGCUAAAAUUGUAUUGAUAGGAAACUCAGAUACAUGUGUGGAUACAUAGACAACACCAUGUCCCUAGUAAGCCUCUAGUUGACUAGCUCGUUGAUCAAUAGAUGGUUACGGUUUCCUGACCAUGGACAUUGGAUGUCGUUGAUAACGGGACCACAUCAUUAGGAGAAUGAUGUGAUGUACAAGACCCAAUCCUAAGCCUAGCACAAGAUCGUGUAGUUCGUUUGCUAAGAGCUUUUCUAAUGUCAAGUAUCAUUUCCUUAGACCAUGAGAUUGUGCAACUCCCGGAUACCGUAGGAAUGCUUUGGGUGUACCAAACGUCACAACGUAACUGGGUGGCUAUAAAGGUGCACUACAGGUAUCUCCGAAAGUGUCUGUUGGGUUGGCACGAAUCGAGACUGGGAUUUGUCACUCCGUGUAAACGGAGAGGUAUCUCUGGGCCCACUCGGUAGGACAUCAUCAUUAUGUGCACAAUGUGACCAAGGAGUUGAUCACGGGAUGAUGUGUUACGGAACGAGUAAAGAGACUUGCCGGUAACGAGAUUGAACAAGGUAUCAGGAUACCGACGAUCGAAUCUCGGGCAAGUACCAUACCGGUAGACAAAGGGAAUUGUAUACGGGAUUGAUUGAAUCCUUGACAUCGUGGUUCAUCCGAUGAGAUCAUCGUGGAACAUGUGGGAGCCAACAUGGGUAUCCAGAUCCCACUGUUGGUUAUUGGCCGGAGAACGUCUCGGUCAUGUCUGCAUGGUUCCCGAACCCGUAGGGUCUACACACUUAAGGUUCGAUGACAAUAGAGUUAUAGGGAAUAGAUAUACGUGGUUACCGAAUGUUAUUCGGAGUCCCGGAUGAGAUCCCGGACGUCACGAGGAGUUCCGGAAUGGUCCGGAGGUAAAGAUUUAUAUAUGGGAAGUCCUGUUUUGGUCACCGGAAAAGUUUCGGGUGCUGUCGGUAACGUACCGGGACCACCGGGAGGGUCCCGGGGGUCCACCAGGUGGGGCCACCGGCCCCAGAGGACUGCGUGGGCUAAGUGUGGGAAGGGACCAGCCCCUAGGUGGGCUGGUGCGCCUCCCACAAGGGGCCCAAGGCGCAGGGAAGGGGGAAGGGGGAAACCCUAGGCUCAGAUGGGCCUAAGGCCCACCUAGUAGUGCGCCCCCCCUCUCUCCCCCCUUGGCCGCCCCUCCAAGUCCCAUCUAGGGCUGGCCGCACCCCUUGGGGGGGAACCCUAGAUGGGGGCGCAGCCCCUCCCCCUCCCCUAUAUAUAGUGGGGGUUUUGGGGCUGCCAUAUAGAUGAGUCUUCCCCUCUCUCUGGCGCAGCCCUACCCCUCUCCCUCCUCGUCUCUCGCAGUGCUUGGCGAAGCCCUGCUGGAGUGCCACACUCCUCCAUCACCACCAUGCCGUUGUGCUGCUGCUGGAUGGAGUCUUCCCCAACCUCUCCCUCUCUCCAUGCUGGAUCAAGGCAUGGGAGACGUCACCGGGCUGCACGUAUGUUGAACACGGAGGCGCCGUGGUUCGGCGCUUAGAUCGGAAUCAACCGCGAUCUGAAUCGCAACGAGUACGACUCCUUCGUCCGCGUUCUUGCAAUGCUUCCGCUUAGUGAUCUACAAUGGUAUGUAGAUGCACUCCCCUUCCCCUCGGUGCUAGAUUACUCCAUAGAUUGAUCUUGGUGAUGCGUAGAAAAUUUUGAAUUUCGGCUACGUUCCCCAACAGUGGCAUCAUGAGCUAGGUCUAUGAGUAGUUUCUAUGCACGAGUAGAACACAAAGUAGUUGUGGGCGUCGAUUUUGUCAAUUUACUUGCCGUUACUAGUCUUAUCUUGAUUCGGCGGCAUCAUAGGAUGAAGCGGCCCGGACCGACCUUACACGUACACUUACGUGAGACAGGUUCCACUGACUGACAUGCACUAGUUGCAUAAGGUGGCUAGUGGGUGUCUGUCUCUCCCACUUUAGUCGGAUCGGAUUCGAUGAAAAGGGUCCUUAUGAAGGGUAAAUAGAAAUUGGCAUAUCACGUUGUGGCUUUUGCGUAGGUAAGAAACGUUCUUGCUAGAAUCCCAUAGUAGCCACGUAAAACAUGCAACAACAAUUAGAGGACGUCUAACUUGUUUUUGCAGGGUAUGCUAUGUGAUGUGAUAUGGCCAAAAGGAUGUGAUGAAUGAUAUAUGUGAUGUAUGAGAUUGAUCAUGUUCUUGUAAUAGGAAUCACGACUUGCAUGUCGAUGAGUAUGACAACCGGCAGGAGCCAUAGGAGUUGUCUUAAUGUAUUGUAUGACCUGCGUGUCAAUGAAAACGCCAUGUAAUUACUUUACUUUAUUGCUAACCGUUAGCCAUAGUAGUAGAAGUAAUAGUUGGCGAGACAACUUCAUGAAGACACAAUGAUGGAGAUCAUGGUGUUAUGCCGGUGACGAAGGUGAUCAUGCCGCGCCUCGAAGAUGGAGAUCAAAGGCGCAAGAUGAUAUUGGCCAUAUCACGUCACUUUAUGAUUUGCAUGUGAUGUUUGUCAUGUUUACAUCUUAUUUGCUUAGAACGACGGUAGCAUAAAUAAGAUGAUCCCUCACUAAAAUUUCAAGAGACGUGUUCCCCCUAACUGUGCACCGUUGCGAAGGUUCGUUGUUUCGAAGCAUCACGUGAUGAUCGGGUGUGAUAGAUUCUAACGUUCGAAUACAACGGGUGUUGAUGAGCCUAGCAUGUACAGACAUGGCCUCAGAACACAUGCGAAACACUUAGGUUGACUUGACGAGCCUAGCAUGUACAGACAUGGCCUCGGAACACAAGAGAUCGAAAGGUCGAACAUGAGUCGUAUAGUAGAUACGAUUAACAUGGAGAUGUUCACCGAUGAUGACUAGUCCGUCUCACGUGAUGAUCGGACACGGCCUAGUUUGACUCGGAUCAUGUAUCACUUAGAUGACUAGAGGGAUGUCUAUCUGAGUGGGAGUUCAUUGAAUAAUCAGAUGAACUUAAUUAUCAUGAACAUAGUCAAAAGGUCUUUGCAAAUUAUGUCAUAGCUUACGCUUUAGUUCUACUGUUUAAGAUAUGUUCCUAGAGAAAAUUUAGUUGAAAGUUGAUAGUAGCAAUUAUGCGGACUGGGUCCGUAAGCUGAGGAUUGUCCUCAUUGCUGCACAGAAGGCUUAUGUCCUUAAUGCACCGCUCGGUGUGCUGAACCUUAGCGUCGUCUGUAGAUGUUGCGAAACAUCUGGCAUACACGUUUUGAUGACUACGUGAUAGUUCAGUGCGUAAUGCUAACGGUUUAGAAUUGUGGCACCAAAGACGUUUUGAAACGUCACAGAACAUAUGAGAUGUUCUGAAGACUGAAAUUGGGAUUUCAGACUAGUGCCCACGUCAAGAGGUAUGAGACCCCUAACAAGUUUCUUAAGCCUGCAAACAAAGGGAGAAAAGCUCAAUCGGUGAGCAUGUGCUAAGAUUGUCUGAGUACUACAAUCACUUGAAUCGAGUGGGAAUUAAUCUUCCAGAUGAGAUAGUGAUGGUUCUCCAUAGUCACUGCCACCAAGCUAUUAGAGCUUCGUGAUGAACUAUAACAUAUCAGGGAUAGACAUGAUGAUCCUUGAGCAACUCGCGAUGUUUGACACCGCGAAAGUAGAAAUCAAGAAGGAGCAUCAAUUGUUGAUGGUUAGUAAAACCACUAGUUUCUAGAAGGGCAAGGGCAAAAGGGAUACUUCAUGAAACAGCAAAUCAUUUGCUGCUCUAGUGAAGAAUCCCAAGGUUGAACCCAAACCCGAGACUAAGUGCUUCUGUAGUGAGGGGAACGGUCACUGAAGCAGAACUACCCUAGAUACUUGGUAGAUGAGAAGGCAGACAAGGUCGACAGAAGUAUAUUGGAUAUACAUUAUAUGAAUGUGUACUUUACUAGUACUCCUAGCAGCACCAGGGUAUUAGAUACCGGUUCAGUUGCUAAGUGUUAGUAACUCGAAAUAAAAGCUGCGUGACAAACAGAGACUAGCUAAAGGUGAGAUGACGAUAUGUGUUGGAAGUGUUUCCAAGGUUGAUGUGAUCAAGCAUCGCAUGCUCCCUCUACCAUCGAGAUUGGUGUUAAACCUAAAUAAUUGUUAUUUGGUGUUUGCGUUGAGCAUAAACAUGAUUGGAUUAUGUUUAUCGCAAUACGGUUAUUCAUUUAAGGAGAAUAAUGGUUACUCUGUUUAUUUGAAUAAUACCUUCAAUGGUCUUGCACCUAAAAUGAAUCUCGAUCGCAGUGAUACACAUGUUCGUGCCAAAAGAUAUAAAAUAGUAAUGAUAGUACCACAUACUUGUGGCACUGCCAUUUGAGUCAUAUUGGUAUAGAACGCAUGAAGAAGCUCCAUGGAUCUUUGGACUCACUCAUUUUUGAAAAGAUUGAGACAUGCGAACCAUGCCUAUUGGUAUAUAUGCAUGAAGAAACUCCAUGCAGAUGGAUCGUUUGGACUCACUUGAUUUUGAAUCACUUGAGACAUGCAAAUCAUACCACAUGGGCAAGAUGACUGAAAGGCCUCGUUUUCAGUAAGAUGGAACAAGAGAGCAACUUGUUGGAAGUAAUACAUUUGAUGUGUGCAGUCCAAUGAGUGCUGAGGCAUGCAGUGGAUAUCGUUAUGUUCUUACUUCACAGAUGAUUUGAGUAGAUGCUGAGUGUAUUUACUUGAUGAAGCACAAGUCUAAAUUAUUGAAAGGUUCAAGUAAUUUCAGAGUGAAGUUGAAGAUCGUCGUGACAAGAGGAUAAAAUGUCUAUGAUAUGAUCAUAGAGAUAUCUGAGUUACGAGUUUGGCACACAAUUAAGACAUUGUGGAAAGUGUUUCACAAUUAAUACCGCCUGGAACACCACAAUGUGAUGGUGUGUCCGAACAUCAUAACUGCACCCUAUUGGAUAUGGUGCAUACCAUGAUGUCUCUUUACCACUAUCGUUUAUGGGUUAGGCAUUAGAGACAACCGCAUUCACUUUAAAUAGGGCACCACACAAUUUCGUUGAGACGACACCGUAUGAACUAUGGUUUAGAGAAACCUAAGCUGUCAUUUCUUAAAAGUUUGGGGCUGCGACGCUUAUGUGAAAAAGUUUCAGGCUGAUAAGCACGAACCCAAAGCGGAUAAAUGCAUCUUCAUAGAAUACCCAAAACAGUUGGGUAUACCUCCUAUUUCAGAUCUGGAAGCAAAAGUGAUUGUUUCUAGAUACGGGUCCUUUCUCGAGGAAAAGUUUCUCUCGAAAGAAUUGAGUGGGAGGAUGGUAGAGAUUUGAUGAGGUUAUUGAACCGUCACUUCAACUAGUGUGUAGCAGGGCACAAGAAGUUGUUCCUGUGGCACCUACACCAAUUGAAGUGGAAGCUUAUGAUAGUGGUCAUGAAACUUCGAAUCAAUUCACUACCAAACCUCGUAGGACGACGAGGAUACGUACUACUUUAGAGUAGUACGUGAUCCUGUCUUGGAAGUCGUGUUGCUAGACAACAAUGAACCUACGAGCUAUGGAGAAGCGAUGGUGGGCCCUGAUUCCGACGAAUGGCUCGAGGCCAUGAAAUCCGAGAGAGGAUCCAUGUAUAAAAGCAAAGUAUAGACUUUGGAAGAAAUACUUGAUAGUCGUAAGGCUGUUGGGUGCAGAUGGAUUUUAAAAGGAAGACAGACAAUGAUGGUAAAUGUCACCAUUAAGAAAGCUCGGCUUGUCGUUAAGGUGUUUUCCGACAAGUUCAAGGAGUUGACUACAAUGAGACUUUCUCACUCGUAGCGAUGCUAAUAGUCUGUUGGAAUUAUAUUAGCAGUUACUGCAUUAUUUAUGAAAUCUUGCAAAUAGGAUAUCCAAUCAUUGUUUCCUCGACGAUUUUCUUGAGGAAAGGUUGUAUGUGAUACAACCAGAAGGUUUUGUCAAUCCUGAAAGAUGCUAACAAGUAUGCAAUGCUCCAGCAAUCCUUCUAAGGACUGGAGUAAGCAUCUCGGAGUUGGAAUGUACGCUUUGAUGAGAUGAUCAAAGAUUUUGGGUUUGUACAAAGUUUAUGAGAAACUUGUAUUUCCAAAGAAGUGAGUGGGAGCACUAUAGGAUUUCUGAUGAGUAUAUGUUGUUGACAUAUUGUUGAUCAGAGAUGAUGUAGAAUUUUUGGAAAGCAUACAAGGUUAUUUGAAAAGUGUUUUUCAAUGGAAAACCUGGAUUAAGCUACUUGAACAUUAAGCAUCAAGAUCUAUAAGGAUAGAUCAAAAACCGCUUAAUAGUACUUUCAAAUGAAUACAUACCGUGACAAGUUUUUGAAGGAGUUCAAAAUAGAUCAGCAAAGAAGGAGUUCUUGGCUGUGUUACAAGGUGUGAGUAUUGAGUAAGACUCAAGACCUGACCACAGCAGAAGAGAGAGAAAGGACGAAGAUCGUCCCCUAUGCUUUAGACGUAGGCUCUACAGUAUGCUAUGUUGUGUACCGCACAUGAAGUGUGCCUUGCCAUGAGUUGGCCAAGGGGUACAAUAGUGAUCCGGGAAUGGAUCACAUGACAACGGUCGAACUUAUCCUUAGUAUCUAGUGGACUAAGGAAUUUUCUCGAUUAUGGAGGUGGAAAAGGAGUUCGUCGUAAAGGGUUACGUUGAUGCAAGCUUUGACACUAAUCCGGAUGACUCUGAGUAGUAAACCGGAUUCGUAUAGUAGAGCAGUUAUUUGGAAUAGCUCCAAGUAGCGCGUGGUAGCUGCAUCUAUAAGAUGACAUAGAUAUUCGUAAAGCACACACGGAUCUGAAAGGUUCAGACCCAUUGACUAAUAACCUCUCUCACAAGCGAGAUAUGAACAAACCCCAUGGGUGUUGGAUUCAUUACAAUCACAUGGUGAUGUGAACUACAUUAUUGACUCUAGUAAACUCUUGGGUAUUAAUCACAUGGUGAUGUGAACUAGAUUAUUGACUCUAGUGCAAGUGGGAGACUGUUAGAAAUAUGCCCUAGAGGCAAUAAUAAAUUGGUUAUUAUUAUAUUUCCUUGUUCAUGAUAAUCGUUUAUUAUCCAUGCUAAAAUUGUAUUGAUAGGAAACUCAGAUACAUGUGUGGAUACAUAGACAACACCAUGUCCCUAGUAAGCCUCUAGUUGACUAGCUCGUUGAUCAAUAGAUGGUUAUGGUUUCCUGACCAUGGACAUUGGAUGUCGUUGAUAACGGGAUCACAUCAUUAGGAGAAUGAUGUGUUGGACAAGACCCAAUCCUAAGCCUAGCACAAGAUCGUGUAGUUCGUUUGCUAAGAGCUUUUCUAAUGUCAAGUAUCAUUUCCUUAGACCAUGAGAUUGUGCAACUCCCGGAUACCGUAGGAAUGCUUUGGGUGUACCAAACGUCACAACGUAACUAGGUGGCUAUAAAGGUGCACUACAGGUAUCUCCGAAAGUGUCUGUUGGGUUGGCACGAAUCGAGACUGGGAUUUGUCACUCCGUGUAAACGGAGAGGUAUCUCUGGGCCCACUCGGUAGGACAUCAUCAUUAUGUGCACAAUGUGACCAAGGAGUUGAUCACGGGAUGAUGUGUUACGGAACGAGUAAAGAGACUUGCCGGUAACGAGAUUGAACAAGGUAUCAGGAUACCGACGAUCGAAUCUCGGGCAAGUACCAUACCGGUAGACAAAGGGAAUUGUAUACGGGAUUGAUUGAAUCCUUGACAUCGUGGUUCAUCCGAUGAGAUCAUCGUGGAACAUGUGGGACCAACAUGGGUAUCCAGAUCCCACUGUUGGUUAUUGGCCGGAGAACGUCUCGGUCAUGUCUGCAUGGUUCCCGAACCCGUAGGGUCUACACACUUAAGGUUCGAUGACAAUAGAGUUAUAGGGAAUAGAUAUACGUGGUUACCGAAUGUUGUUCGGAGUCCCGGAUGAGAUCCCGGACGUCACGAGGAGUUCCGGAAUGGUCCGGAGGUAAAGAUUUAUAUAUGGGAAGUCCUGUUUUGGUCACCGGAAAAGUUUCGGGUGCUAUCGGUAACGUACCGGGACCAGAGGGCUGCGUGGGCUAAGUGUGGGAAGGGACCAGCCCCUAGGUGGGCCGGUGCGCCUCCCACAAGGGGCCCAAGGCGCAGGGAAGGGGGAAGGGGGAAACCCUAGGCUCAAAUGGGCCUAAGGCCCACCUAGUGGUGGGCCCCCCUCUCUCCCCCCUUGGCCGCCCCUCCAAGUCCCAUCUAGGGCUGGCUGCACCCCUUGGGGGGAACCCUAGUGGGGGCGCAGCCCCUCCCCCUCCCCUAUAUAUAGUGGGGGUUUUGGGGCUGCCAUAUAGAUGAGUCUUCCCCUCUCUCUGGCGCAGCCCUACCCCUCUCCCUCCUCGUCUCUCGCAGUGCUUGGCGAAGCCCUGCUGGAGUGCCACACUCCUCCAUCACCACCAUGCCAUUGUGCUGCUGCUGGACGGAGUCCUCCCCAACCUCUCCCUCUCUCCUUGCUGGAUCAAGGCGUGGGAGACGUCACCGGUCUGCACGUGUGUUGAACGCGGAGGCGCCGUGGUUCGGCGCUUAGAUCGGAAUCAACCGCGAUCUGAAUCGCAACGAGUACGACUCCUUCAUCCGCGUUCUUGCAACACUUCCGCUUAGCGAUCUACAAUGGUAUGUAGAUGCACUCCCCUUCCCCUCGGUGCUAGAUUACUCCAUAGAUUGAUCUUGGUGAUGCGUAGAAAAUUUUGAAUUUCUGCUACGUUCCCCAACAAAGACGAGGUGAGGCUACAGUGAGAGCCCGCAAGGCGGCGGCACUGUAGCCACGCUUACCUCGAGAAAGCCCUCGUCAUCAGAGGCGAGGCAACAGUAACCAGCCGCCGACAAGGCCCCCAAGCGGUGGGGCCUUCCUGUCGGCCAAGAGGCCGGCAGCCGGCGGGACCCACCAGUCGGCGGGCCCCAAUGGCCGGCGGAGAAGCCGGCGAGCAUAGACACUGACGGCUGGGACCCGCGCCCGGCCGGAUUACCAUUGUAUCCCUGGGGGGUAGGCCUAUAUAAGCCCCCCGGGACACCCAUGCAAAGGGUUGAUCUCAUAGAGUUUCACACACCACAUAGAGAGAAAAGGAGAGCUAGCCUUGCCCUUCUUCUUCCUCUAGCCAAACAUCUCAAGGAGCACUUGUAGCUACUUGUAUUGAUCUAGUGAUCAUGCGGAGACCCCGCAGAGCAGGAAUAGGGGUGUUAUCUCCACGGAGAGCCCCGAACCUGGGUAAGAUCCGCCGGCGUGCAUGUCUUCGCCUUAUCCCGUUUCCAGGCACCGGCGAUGUCUUACUGGCUCCCACAAUGAUAAGCCACCCGUUGGCAUAUGUCGCACCUACCACCCGACAUUUGGCGCCCACCGUGGGGCCAGGUGCACCGUCGUCCGGAGACCUGUUCUGGACGGGAACCCUUUCCUCCCCCGCGAGCGUAGCCAGUCUGCUACGCCCGAUGGCGCUUGCCUUGACGCGCUGCAAGGCGUCGACGACGCCUGCGCGGCGAGCUGCCUCGCCGACCUUCUUGUCGAGACUCGCAUCUCUGACGAGCCCGCGUCCGACGCGGGCACAGACUACCCCGAGAGCCGCCUCGUCAGCCUCCUCGACCAGCUUCACGUCUCCAGCGAGCUUGCUGUGGACUUGGAGUCGGUCGGCUCCACCGACCCGAUGCUUAUCGACUCCGACACGGCAUCGCUUGACGCCUACCCCUCCGACGUGGUAAUCUUCGACGACCCUCUCCCUCGAGCCGACAGUGGCAGCAGCGCUGUUACUGAGGUGCUGGUCAUCAGCCACGGCGCCGACUUGGGCGAGAACGCCCACGACGCCCUACAAGCGGUGAUGCAUGACUUGUCCGUCCCCAUCCCGGCCGACGCCGACGCCGAGACUCUGGAGGCACGCCGCCUCACCCUCAUCGCGGAGGGCCAGAAGAUAGCCUCCAUGAGACGCCUCACUGAGGCUCACCAGCGCAAAGUCGACCGCGCCGCCUUUGGUACGCCGCCUCAUGGCGGGCUGAGCCGAGCCGGCCUCGUCAAGAAGCGCGGCGCGGCCAUCGCCAGCAUGCUGGGGGCAGACCGCCCAGUCUACGCCACACCGCUCGAGAAUCUGCGAGCCGCUCAGGCGGCCGCAGAAGAGCUGAACGGGCUGGGGGCAGAUGAGCUCCCCUACAUAACAAGGCGCAUCCAGCAGCUGAUCGACGCGGCCGCAGAGUGGCAUGAAGCCGGCGCCCGCGCUGAGAGUCCUCCCCCAUGCCGAGAACACGCCGCGACAUCCCGGUCGCCGAGUGCGAGCGGCGCCCGCGCAAGGAAAGACAAGGAGCCGGCUGCUAGCCGCAGCCGGACUCGAAUCACCAUCGAGCGCGACGCAGAAGGCCGCCCUCGAGCGGUGGAGCGCCAAGGCAAUCCGCCUCCUCCCCCGCCUCGUGGGGAGAGAUAUCCCACCCUACCGCCUGUCACGCAUCCGACUCUCGGUGGCCGACUAGGCCACCGCGAAGGAGUCAGCGAGAACGACGCCCGCCACCGGAUCGACCGCCUAGCACGAUCCCUGGCGCUAGAAGAAGAAGACGAUGUCGGCCCGCCUUGCUUUGGCCCCCGCAUCUGCGAUGAGCCCUUCCCCAAAGGGUUCUCGCUCCCCAGAGACACGCCCAAGAACAACGGCUCUGUGAAGCCGGAAGAUUGGCUGAUCGACUACUCUACCACUGUCAGCAUAGUGAACGGCAACAGGCGCGUAGCCGUGAAGUACGUCCCUCUCAUGCUGCAAGGCACGGCACGCACCUGGCUAAACAGCCUCAAGCCCUACAGCGUCAACAGCUGGCUGGACUUCACGGAAGUCUUCGUCUGCAACUUCACCAGCACGUACAAACGGCCUCCCAAGCCCAGCCAGCUCUCCUUGUGCGUCCAAGGGCCCAGCGAAUUGACUCGCGACUACCUCACGUGGUGGGCCGAGCUCCGCAACUCCUGCGAGGGCGUACACGAGGUUCAAGCCAUAGAAUACUUCACCGCCGGGUGCCGAGAGGGCAUCCUCCUUAAGCACCAACUCCUCUGCGACGAGCCGGCUACCCUCGACGAGUUGUUGGUCAUAGCAGACAAGUACGCCACGGCCGACUCCUUGAUGAAGACCGAGCUCCGAGUGGACGCCUCUGGGAAGGUGCUCGCUCCGACUACCAAGACGCCGGCUGGUGACUCCAACCGACGCCCCUACCAGAACGACCACAAGCGCAAGGCCCCUAUGCCGCCUUCCACCAGUCGGCAGGUGGCCACUGUCGAAGACGAGCAGCCCGAAGAGCGGCCAGCUCCCAAGAAGAAGGGCGGCAGGCCGGCUUGGCAGCCGGCCUUCUCCUACGAGCAGACUCUCGAUGCCCCCUGCAAGUUUCACAGCGGCGCGAAGCCGUCCAACCACACGACCCGGAAGUGCCACUGGCUCACACGGAUCUCCAAGGGCGAGUGGCUGGUGCCGCCUCCGCCUCCCGGCCCGCCGCCUCCAGCCCCCCAGCAGCCGGCUGCUCGACCAGCAGUCGGAGCCAUUCAGGAUGAGUUCUCAGAUGAGCACGCCGCCUACGUCGUCUUCACGAGCCAGGUUGAAGACAAGCGCAGCCGGCGCCGACAGCACCAAGAGGUCAACACAGUCGCCUCCAGCAACCCCGAGUUCAUGCAUUGGUCUGAAAGGCCUAUCAGCUGGAGCCGGGACAAUCACCCAGAGGUGAUGCCGUCUCCUGGCUCCUACGCGCUGGUGUUGAACGUCACCCUCGCGACGGAGAGGCGAGCUGCCCGAUUCUCCCGCGUGCUGAUUGAUGGCGGAAGCAGUAUCAACAUACUGUACCGCGACACCAUGGAGAAGUUGAACCUCAAGGCGAAGUAGCUCAUGCCAAGCCGGACCGUGUUCCAUGGCAUCGUACCCGGCCUGUCCUGUUCCCCAAUCGGCAAGAUCAAGAUGGAUGUUCUCUUCGGAGACAAGGAUCACUUUCGCCGAGAAGCAAUCUGGUUUGAGGUAGUGGACCUAGAGAGCCCUUACCACGCCUUGCUUGGCCGACCUGCCCUGGCCAAGUUCAUGGCUGUGUCCCACUACGCCUACCUCAAGAUGAAGAUGCCGAGCUCGAAGGGGAUCAUCACUGUAGCCGGCGACUACAAGAAGUGCAUCGAGUGCGCUGUAGCCAGCAGCCGGCUGGCCGAGUCCCUCGUGGUUGCAGAAGAGAAGAAGAUGCUGGAGCGAGUUGUGGCCAUGGCCCGCAAGCAGCCGGCCCUGUCCCCCAACCCCAAGGAAUAUGAUGCUCAGGGCUCCUUCCAGCCGGCCAAGGAGACGAAGAAGAUACCUCUGGACCCGGAGAACCCGGAGAGGUUUGCUGUCAUUGGCGCAAACCUGGACAGUAAAUAGGAAGGCGAGCUCGUCGACUUCCUCCGUGAGAAUCGAGACAUCUUUGCAUGGUCCCCAAAGGACAUGUCGGGUGUUCCGAAGGAUUUCGCCGAGCACAAGUUACACGUCCGAGCGGACGCGAAACUAGUCAAGCAGCCUCUCCGCCGACUGUCGGAGGAGAAGAGAAGAAUCGUAGGAGAAGAGAUAUCCCGGCUCCUGGCCGCCGGCUUCAUUAUGGAAGUGUUUUUCCCAGAGUGGCUUGCCAACCCGGUCUUGGUGUUGAAGAAGAACAACAAAUGGCGUAUGUGUAUAGACUACACUAGCCUCAACAAAGCCUGCCCCAAAGAUCCGUUUGCCCUACCACGGAUUGAUCAAGUGAUAGACUCCACAGCCAGAUGCGAGUUGUUGAGUUUCUUGGAUGCCUACUCAGGAUACCACCAGAUCAAGUUGGACCCAGCUGACCGCCUGAAGACCGCCUUCAUCACACCAUUCGGAGCUUUCUGUUACCUGACUAUGACAUUCGGCCUGAGGAAUGCCGGUGCCACUUUUCAGCGUUGCAUGCAGAAAUGCCUCCUCAAGCAACUCGGCAGAAAUGCCCACGUCUACGUAGAUGAUAUUGUGCUGAAGACGGAGAAGCGCGGCACCCUGCUGGAAGACCUCAAAGAAACAUUUGCCAACUUGCGCCGAUUCCAGAUCAUGCUCAACCCCGAGAAAUGUGUGUUUGGAGUACCAGCCGGCCAGCUUCUAGGCUUUUUGGUCUCCGAACGCGGCAUUGAGUGCAACCCUGUGAAGAUCAAGGCCAUUGAGAGAAUGGAGAUUCCCACCAAGUUGCGAGACGUUCAGAUGUUCACCGGGUGCCUGGCCACCCUAAAUCGCUUUAUCAGCCGGCUAGGGGAGAAGGCUCUCCCCCUGUACCGGCUCAUGAAGAAAUCCCCUCACUUCGAGUGGAACGACCAAGCAGACCAAGCCUUCCAUGAGUUGAAGAAGAUGCUGACCACUCCACCUGUCCUGGCGGCGCCGACUGAGAAGGAGCCCAUGCUCCUCUACGUUGCCGCGACUAGCCGAGUGGUCAGUACAGUCAUCGUGGUCCAGCGCCCAGAAGAAGACCGAGCCCAGUUAGUCCAGAGGUCGGUAUAUUAUUUAAGCAAAGUACUGUCCACCUCAAAGCAAAAGUACCCGCACUACCAGAAGAUGUGCUAUGGAGUGUACUUCGCCGCCAAGAAGCUGAAGCCCUACUUUCAAGAGCAUCCCAUCACGGUCGUAUGCACCGCCCCGCUUGCCGAGAUCAUAGGCAGCUGGGAUGCAUCCGGCCGGGUGGCUAAGUGGGCCAUCGCGCUGGCCCCUUACACAAUCUUCUACCAGCCCCGCACUGCCAUCAAGUCCCAAGCAUUGGCCGACUUCCUUGUCGACUGGGCCGAGACCCAGUACCUACCGCCGGUUCCCGACUCCACUCAUUGGCGGAUGCACUUCGACGGGUCCAAGAUGCGCACCGGCUUGGGAGCCGGCAUCAUCCUCACCUCUCCCAAAGUCGACAAGCUCAGAUACACGCUGCAAAUCCAUUUUGCCACCUCCAACAAUGUGGCUGAGUACGAGGCGCUCAUACACAGGCUCCGGCUAGCCAAAGAGCUCGGCAUACGCCGGAUCCUGUGUUAUGGAGACUCGGACUUGGUGGUCCAGCAGUCAUCUGGCGACUGGGACGUCAAGGAUGCAAACAUGGCGAGCUAUCGAUUCCUCGUCCAGCAGAUCAGCGGAUACUUUGAAGGGUGCGAGUUCCUUCACGUGCCACGGGCCGACAACGACCAAGCAGAUGCCCUGGCACGGAUCGGCUCCACCCGACAGGCUAUACCAACCGGUGUCUCUCUCCAGCGCCUCCUCAAACCGUCUAUCAAGCCGUCUCCAGAAUCGGACUCUAUCUUCGUACCGCCCGCCCCUGAUGCAGCCGGAUCCGACUGGAGGAACCCAGCAGGCGGCUCGGGGACUUCGACAAGCGGCCCGGGGACUGCCGUAGUCGCACCGGCUCGGGGACUUCAGAACUCGGCCCGGGGACUGCAGCGGCACAAGAAGCGGUGGCCGACUCCAACUCUCCACCACCCAACCCACCCACCCGGGUCACAGUGGCCGUACUGACAGUAGAAGAAGUCACAGCUCCAUCAUGGGCCCAGCCCAUCCUCAACUUCCUAGUCAACAGAGAGCUGCCGACUGAUGAGAUCUCGGCAAGACUAGUGCAACGCCGAGCCGGAGCAUACGCAAUAAUAAACAGAGAACUUGUCAAGCGUAGCGUCACUGGAGUCUUCCAGCGCUGCGUCGAGCCAGAGAAGGGCAUAGCAAUCCUCAAGGAUAUCCACCAAGGCGAAUGCGGCCACCACGCAGCCUCAAGAUCACUUGUCGCCAAAGCUUUCCGCCAUGGUUUCUUCUGGCCGAUUGCUUUGGAAGAUGCCAAGGAAUUAGUCAAAUGCUGCAAAGGAUGCCAAGUCUUCAGCUCCAAGCAACACCUGCCGGCUUCUGCACUCAAGACCAUCCCCCUCACCUGGCCCUUUGCCGUUUGGGGGCUGGACAUGGUGGGCCCAUUCAAGACAGCCUGCGGCGGCAUGACACAUCUGCUUGUCGCCGUGGACAAAUUUACCAAGUGGAUUGAAGCGAAGCCGAUCAAGAAGCUGAACGGGCCGACUGUCGUGACAUUCAGCGCAGACAUCACUACUCGGUAUGGUGUGCCACACAGCAUCAUCACCGACAACGGCACAAAUUUUGCCAAGGGAGCACUGGCACGUUUCUGCGCGACACAGGGCAUCCGACUGGACUUAGCGUCCGUUGCCCACCCGCAGUCAAACGGCCAGGUCGAGCGAGCAAACGGCCUCAUCCUCUCCGGCAUCAAGCCCCGACUGGUCGUACCACUAGAGCGUUCGGCCGGCUGCUGGCUCGAUGAGCUGCCGGCUGUCCUUUGGAGUCUGCGUACUACCCCAAACAAGUCAACCGGCUUCACUCCGUUCUUCCUUGUAUAUGGUGCCGAGGCUGUCAUCCCAACUGACAUCGAGUUCGACUCGCCUCGGGUCACCAUGUACACGGAGGCGGAGGCCAAGGAAGCACGAGAAGACGGCGUCGACCUGCUGGAAGAAGGCCGGCUGUUAGCACUCAACCGGUCCGCCAUCUACCAGCAGGGUUUGCGCCAUUACCACAACCGGAAGGUCAAGCCAAGAUUCUUCCAAGAGGGCGAUCUUGUGCUCCGGCUGAUACAGCGAACAGCCGGCCAGCACAAGCUCUCGGCCCCUUGGGAAGGCCCUUUCGUCGUCAGCAAGGCACUAGGCAACAACUCUUACUACCUGAUCGACGCACAGAAGCCAAGAGCACGCAAGAGGGAUGAUUCCGGCAAGGAGUCGAAACGACCAUGGAACGCCAACCUCCUGAGAAGAUUUUACAGUUAAAAGCAAUGUGUAUCAUGCUACCUUUUUUGUAUUAAGUACGAGACAACGGGCCCCCCGAGGCGCACUCGGGGACUGCCCUCCUUUAUCUAUGAAUGACAAGUGUCAUACUCACGAAUGUAUUAGUACAUUUGAUUUUCUAUCUGGCACUGGGUUCGACUAGUCGGCCCGGGGACUGGCCGCCUUAAGUUAUAUUAAAAGUUCUACCUGAAGUCAGACAAGUAGUGUGCCAGCACCCGAGCCCUCUCUUGUUGUAAGUAGCAGCUCGAAGAACCGACUGUCCGACUGGAAAGAGCCAAAGGCAGAAAGGAUGCCCACACGAAAAACAGCUAAGGACUAACGAACUUAUAUAACACAAGCCGGCCUCCAACCACGCCUACCGGCUGUCAAAACAGCCGGCUGGCCGGCCUCCCAGUCACUUCGCUACAAUCCAACAAAGCUAGAGUACUUGCCCUCCCAACUGGCCAAGCACUUCUCCAGCCACAGACUGCAGAGCAGCUGUCCGGCUGGGAAGGCGGCAACCAAGGGAGGGCGACAAAGGAAACAGCCGAAGGACGACAAGCAAAGAACAAGGGAAAGCCAAACGCAUGCAUAAUUAUAUUUACACAUAAGGCCUUCAACAGGCCGGCAGUCAAUAUAGUUUGAAUACACCCCCAGUGGGUGGAACUGUGCAAACUUAACAAAAUACUGUUCCAAGAGUAAUAAAACAGGAAAGUAGAGGCAGCAAAUUAGACUAAGGGCGCAGCAGGGGAGCCAGGCUGGUCGGUGGAGACGGUGGCACCGGCUGGAGGAGUGGCCGGCUGGCGAGUCUCGGCUUGAUCAUCGCCGGCUGCAGGCGGUGCGCUCGCACGUGCCUUCUUGCUGGAGGCACGGUCAAGCUGAGGCUGACCGGCCGCUCCACCAUCUGGCGCGGCGUCUUCACCCUCCUCCUCCUCCUCGCCAUCUGUCGGGUUCAGCCCGAACCACUCCUCUGGCUGGGCAACGCCGUUGUCGUCCACCUCAGGAGCAAAGGCGCUGGUGUCGGUGUAGUCGGCGAUCGCCGAGGCUCGCUGGAUGAUAGCCGGCCGCACCGGCUCCAGCUCCGUGUUGGCCUCCUGCUACCAGGUGCCCAGCUGGUCCAAACUCAGCUCGGGAUACCAGGCCUUGACGAACUCCAGCGCCCGCCUGCUGCCGGACUGAGCCGCAGAAGCCUUCCAGGCCUCGAAGCGGCCGGCCGCCACCUCCAGCCAGUCGGCAGUCCGACUGGGGGUGCAGGGAAUCACCUCACCAAGCCAGAGAGCGGCUAGCACCUGCGCCCCAACAUGCUGAAGCCGGCGGAGCAUGCGGUGAGCCAGCUGGAGGCGGGCUUGAAUCGCCAAGAGCUGUUCCUCCAGCGACCGAUGAGCGUUCGACGCGAUCUCGGCGCCAGCCUACCUUUGUGCCUUGCGGUGGGCCUCGACGACCUGGUUGGCGGCAGUAGAGUAGCCAGGGAAGUACUCUGCGCAAGAAAGAAAGAGAAAGAAGAGAAAAAUACCAAGUCAGAAAAUGAACCAAACGGCAAGCGGCAAGCAAGGGACGAAGAAGAGGGCGGCCUACCGUCAACCAAGUCUUCGAUCUGGCCAUAGUUGUUGAUCAACGAUUGCCUCGCCUCGGCCCAGCUCGCCGCCUCCGUCUCGUAUUCGGUUUGAAGGGCGGCCUCGCUGUCCUGCACCGCCUUCAAGGCCGCCUUGUGGCUCUCCUCCUGGUCGGCUAGCCUCUUGGCCAGGCGGUCACGCUCCUGGGCCAAGGCGUCAAACUCGGCUUCCUUAGUGCGAAGGGUGGCCUGAGUCCCACCCAACUGCUCCCUCAGUUUGGCGUUGGCCGCUGCAGGCAUGGCAGAGAAGAAAGAAGCAAUAAGGAAGAAGUCGUCAAGAAAGAUCCGACCCGACUGCUCAGCAGUCGGUCCGAAUCUCGGGGACUACACCCAGUGGGUGCGCUGACGCGCCCCCACAUGAGAUAAAAGAUGAAGCACUUACCCCGUCACUCAGAUAAUCAGCAUUCUUCUGGGUCAGCUCCCGAGCCUGGGAGUUGAAGGCAGCCGCGCGGAGGUUGUGGUAGUCCUGCAAGUCAGGCAGAGAAGCGAAUGAGAACAAGAUAGCAAACAAAGCCCGCUAAGAAGUUCCAAGCCGCCUGCUCAGCAGCCGACUCGGAACUCGGGGACUACACCCAGUGGGUGCGCUGACGCGCCCCCACGGAAGAAACCAAGAUCAAAAAAGCAAAAAUGGGAAGACUUACCCGAAUGGCCGCCCGCGUCGCGAGGAACUCGUCAUUGUAGUGCCUCAGCACUGCGGCCUGGGACUGAAGCCGGUUCCGGACUUCUUGCGCCGCCACAUUCACCACGGCCGUCCCUCCACCCGGCGUCCACCCCGAGCUGGCGCUGGCCGCCUCCGCGUCCUGGACCGACGAGCUGGAGCCCGCGGCCUUCUGCGGGUCCGAAGUGGCCUUCCCCACGCGCUGGCGCGACGGCGACUAGACCACCAGGUCCGUCCUCGCAGCCGGCUCGCCCCAGCCGAUUGUGCAGGCGGCACGUUAGGUCGGCUGCCUUGGGCCGCCCCAGUCGGUGAGGCCGGUGCCGGCUCCCUCUCCGGGACGACGACGUCGUCCUCCCUCUCCAACCCCGGCAGGUCGCCGCCGGCUUGCUCCGGCGGGGGCUCCGGGACCUCGGGCGCCGCGACACGCAGAGGGGUGACAAGCAAGGCCCCCUCCGCUGUUGCCGCGGCCGCAGCCUCCGCUUGGGCCUUGGCCGCCGCGUCGGCACGUGCCUUCGCCGACUCCUCCUCCUCCUGUGCCGCCUUGGCGGCAGCCGCCCUCAGCUCCUCCGCCUCCCGCUCCUCCCGCGCCUCCCGCGCAUUUCGCUCCAUCGCCGCCUGAAGCUCGGCGCGGGGGUCCACACGGCGGGUGCUCCCGGAUCCUCCCGGCGAUCCAACCAUGGAUGCGACGGCAACCCGCUCAAGAGAAAGCGGGGCCCUGAUUUUUUAGAAAGGGCAAGGAUUCAGAUAUCAACAAGAAAAGAAGAAAGAGUAUGCCAAAGAAUAUACACUUACGCUGACACCGUCUGCGGUUGCUUCACCACCUUGCGGAAGCGGGCCGCCUUCACGGCCGCCUCAUCCCGCCUGGUCGCCGCCGCCCCGCCCUUGGGCUUCUUCGGCCAACUGCCGAGCAAGCCCGACGCGGCCCGGUGCUUCUGCCCGCCGCCCCGAGCAGGCGGCGCGGCGGAGGAACCCGCGCCAUGGCCGGACGCCGGCUGGCGGCGUGGGACGAUUUACGCCUCGUCGUCAUCCGGCCAGUCGUCGAAGCUGACUCCAAGCCUGCUUCGCCGCCUCCCGCCUCGGUGUUGUCGUCCAUGGCGGUCGCCCCCAAGUCGUGGUCCUCCAAGUCAUGCUCCGCCCGGUCGGGAAGAAAUUGGCGAUCCGCCCCCAACCCGGCCGCAGGUCGAAGGAGAGGGCUCUGCCAAGACGUGCCGACUGGUCAAAGUCGGCCAAGAAAAACUCGGCGACAAAACUAAGAGAAGAAAGGAUAAAGAGAGCAUACCGUAGGCGGAGGAUGUGCACGGGAGUAUGGCUCCUUGCCAAACCGCCACUCUGCGGAGAGCUUGCAGUUCGCAAGAUAAUUCACCAUAUGAGCCACCUCGUCGUGCGGCAUAUCCUUGGUGCACAUCCGACUCGGAUCAAGUUGGCCGCUCAUCUGACAGAUCAGGUGAGGGCGGCUUUGAAGCGGAAGCACCCGACGCGCGACAAAGGCGGCCAGCAAGUCGGACCCAGUCAGGCCCUCCGACUGGAUCAUUACCCGGAGUCGGGCGACGGCCGCGGCUCCAGCCUGCGACAGCGUCACGGCCCGAUAGGACCACUGGGGCCGCCUCCCAGCCGGCGGGCCGGCUACGUAAGCCGGCAAGUUGACGUAGUCGCCUUGCGGGGCGACGUUCCUCACGUAGAAAUACGACUUCUGCCAGCGCUUCACCGACUGGAUCAGCGUGAUGACGGGGAAGGGGUUGUCGGCCGCCGGCCUCCGCAUCGCGAUGAAGGCGCCGCUCUGAGCCGGCACGCCCUGCAUGAGGGUGCCGAGCUUGGUUUGGAAGAACUCCCCCCAGAGCUCGAGGGUGGGGAGAACGCCAAGAAAGCCUUCGCACAGGGUGACGAAGGUGGACAGCAGCACCACCGUGUUCGGGGUGAGGUGGUGUGGCUGGAGUUGAUAGAAGUCGAGAAAGGAGCGGAAGAAAGCGCUCGCCGGCAGGCCAAGGCCGCGCAGGAAGUGCGAGCGGAAGAUUACCCGCUCGCCUUCUUCCGGCGCUGGCGUGAUCUCCUUCUCUGGCGCGAGACGGACCCGCACCUGGUCCUUGCCGGGCAACCGCCGCGUCUUGCGGAGGAAGUCGAUGUGGUCCAUAUGGGCGUUGGAGCCGUCCCAAUCCCCGCCGUACUGCAUGGUGGCGAGAAGCUAACGAGGAAGAGUGCGGCGGCGGAGAAAGCACGGCCCUGCGGCGGCAAAGCUGCGGGGCGGAGUGAAGAUUGGUGGGACGGCGCGGCGGCGAGGCGCUGCUGCGAGGGAAAGCAAGAGGAAGAAUAUGGCGGAGAGGAGAGGAGCGUGCGAGCGUCUGCCGCUUCCCCUCCUCCCCCUACUGAUAACCUCGCGCGGCGAAGCCGAGGAGGCGAGGCAUGGGGAGGAACGUGGGAUUAACUGCGCCCACUCCCCCAUGUCCCGCGAUUAUUGCGCCCUAACGGCGUGCGGAAACCGCCGCCAGAAGACGUGCGGACAGCUUUGGGCCACAAAGAAUCCGCGCCUGGGCCUAGGCGUAGGAGUGGUGGGCCCCCGACCUGCAGCGACGUCCUGUCGCGCGCGUGGGUUGGCAGGCUUUUUUCAGCCGGAGGAUGCCACGUGGUUCACGGGCGGCAAGCGGCCGGCCCGCAGCCCGGCGCAUGCACCAACAGACUCCCGCCUUCCGACUUUAGAAAUUUCGCCAAGACGGCGCGCCCAACCGAAGCCGGCUCCCAGCUGCUGGCUCGUCAAGAUAAGAAGCUGAUCGAGCUUCUCGACCUCCUCUCAGCCUCGAAGCCCAACCAGCUUCGGGGACUACUGUCGGAGUAAAUGGCCACGGGUAGCCUAACCGACUCCCCCUGGCUCUUCGAAAAAAUAUCAGGCCAUUCGAGCCUUCAAGCAUACAGAGCAUAGGGCCGCCUCCCCCCGGCCGGCUAUCCCCAGGGCCGACUACCCGAAGGCGACCCGGCCUCAGAAACCUUCCCAAAGAAAGCUACGAGAUGGCCGACUCCAGAGAGCCGGCCCCAAGAGGACCGACUCCCAGAGGCCGGCCAUGAAGAAAGCCGACUCCCAGAAGCCGGCCAAGACUGCACCCACCAAGACUGCAUCCACAUAACGGUGAUAAGACGGGGCGUGGCCGCAGUACAGCCCACUACCCCCCGAAUCCCGGAACAGGCAUGGUCACAGGGCGUCGUACGGGUCAGCCAUCACCCGUCCGGCACGGCACUGUAGCCAUGUUGACCUCGAUGUCACCCACGACAGACGCCAGUACGGCCCGCGGGCGGCGGGCCCCUUUAGCCAGAGAAACGCUCGAAGGCGGCCCGGCCUCCCCUAGUCGGCCAGGGGCAUAGCCGACUCCCAAUAGCCGGCUACCUCCCCCCUCGAAACAUGUGCCUCAUUAAGGAGACAAGACGAGGUGAGGCUACAGUGAGAGCCCGCAAGGCGGCGGCACUGUAGCCACGCUUACCUCGACAAAGCCCUCGUCAUCAGAGGCGAGGCAACAGUAACCAGCCGCCGACAAGGCCCCCAAGCGGUGGGGCCAGCCUAUCGGGCAAGAGGCCGGCAGCCGGCGGGACCCACCAGUCGGCGGGCCUCAAUGGCCGGCGGAGAAGCCGGCGAGCAUAGACACUGACGGCUGGGACCCGCGCCCAGCCGGAUUACCAUUGUAUCCCUGGGGUAGGCCUAUAUAAGCCCCCCGGGACACCCAUGCAAAGGGUUGAUCUCAUAGAGUUUCACACACCACAUAGAGAGAAAAGGAGAGCUAGCCUUGCCCUUCUUCUUCCUCUAGCCAAACAGCUCAAGGAGCACUUGUAGCUACUUGUAUUGAUCUACUGAUCAUGCGGAGACCCCGCAGAGCAGGACUAGGGGUGUUAUCUCCACGGAGAGCCCCGAACCUGGGUAAGAUCCGCCAGCGUGCAUGUCUUCGCCUUAUCCCGUUUCCAGGCACCGGCGAUGUUUUACUGGCUCCCACAAUGAUAAGCCGCCCGUUGGCAUAUGUCGCACCUACCACCCGACAGCAUGCACAACCACAGAAAUUCAUCCCUUAGCAUCCUUUUGAGUCAGUAAAGAACAGAUAGUCUGGUUGAUAAAAUCAUAAAAUACAUUCUGGUCGUGACACCUGGAGAUGCUAGAUACCUCAAAUGGUUCAAAUGUUCAUUUCGGUGAGAUGGUUUGGUUACUAACUCCAAACUUAUGAUAUUAAUAGCAUUACCAUAUGGUAUAUCGAUGUAAAUAAAUUAAUCGACUGUCCCGGGCAAUUGGGCUGCUAGGUAUUUUAAUACAGAUGUCUGCAUAGAAAGUGGAGUUAUAUUUGUC